rnacentral:lncRNA from 1 species
UUUUUUUUCGUCCGGAGUCUCAUCCCGACUUGUGGGGGAAUCAUGGUCUCCACCAUCCAUUCUCACGGGGACGAUGCUCCAAUAGUGAAUAAUGAUGAUCAUCACACUUCUAUUUACUUACAACUCAAAAAACUACAACUCGAUAAUAGAACAAAAUAUGACUAUAUGAAUGCCUCUGGCGGUGUACCAGGAUGUGCAAUGAUCUAGCGUGGCAAAGGUAUCAAAAAACGGAUAAGCCAUGAAAAUAUCAUGCUAGCUAUCUUACAAUCAUGCAAAGCAAUAUAAGAAUGAACACUCAGGUCAUGUAUAUGAUGCUAAUGGAAGUUGCAUGGCAAUAUAUCUCGGAAUGGCUAUGAAAAUGCCAUAAUAGGUAGGUAUGGUGGUUGAUUUGAGGAAGAUAUAGAGAGGCUUAUGUGUGAUAGAGCGUAUCAUAUCACGGGGUUUGGAUGCACCGGUGAAGUUUGCACCGACUCUCGAGGUGAGAAACGGUAACGCACAGUACCGAAGAGGCUAGCAAAUUGCCGAAAGGUGAGAGUGCAUAUAAUCCAUUAACUCACAUUAGUCAUAAAAACUCACAUACUUAUUACAAAUGUUUAUUAGCCCUCAAAAUAAAGUAUUGCUAUGCAUGCCCCUAGGGGGAUAGAUUGGUAGAAAAAGACCAUCGCUCGUCCCCGACCGUCACUCAUAAGAAAGACAAUUAAUAAUAAAUCAUGCUCCAACUUCUUAGCAUAACGAGAGACUAUACGUGCAUGCUUUGGGAAUCAAAAACCUUAACACCAAUAUUCUUACUAAACCACAAUCAUUCACUAGUAGCUCUCAUAUAUUACGAUCUUUAUAUCGCAAAACUAUUGCAAGGAAUCAAACAUAUCAUAUUCAGUGAUUACAAGUUUUAUGUAGGAUUUUAUGACUAACCAUGUGAAUGGCCAAUUCCUGUUGUCUUUCUAAAUAAAUAUAAGUGAAGCAUGAGAGUUUAAUUAUUUCUACAAAAAAAAUACCACGCUCUAACAAAUAUAAGUGAAGCAAAAGAGCAUCCUACAAAUGGCAGUUUUCUAUUUGUAGAAAAACAGGCAUCCAAACUACAAAUGAUAUAAGUGAAGCACACGAAGCAUUCUAUAAAACUAUACUCAAACGAUAUAAGUGAAAUGCAAAGAGCAUUUUAUAAAUCAACCAACUAUAUCUCAUACUAGCAUGAUGCAUUAUUAAACAAACAAAUAAGAGAGCACAUGACGCUCCAAGAAUUUAUGCAUAUCAUGUGAACAAAACAAAAACCAAGACAUACCAAUAGUUGUUGGCGAAAGAUGAGAUGCCUUCCGGGGCAUCUCCAAGCUUAGACGUUGGAGUCUCCUUGAAUAUUUACUUGGAGUGCCUUGGGCAUCCCCGGCCUUGAACUCUUGCCCCUCCUUAUUCUCCUGAUAUCAAUACCUCCUCGAUCAUCGAACACUUCAUCCACACAAAACUUAGUCGAACUUUUUAUUAGAGGGGUUAGUACAUAUAACAUCAAGUCCCAUCAUGUCCUACUGUAACAUUAUUGUAUAAUUAUAAUCAAACAUUACCCACUGUACGCUAUCAGAAUUCUAUGGCACCCAAGCCAAUGGGGCUCAACAAGAUUUCAAACAUAAGCAAAUAACGAAACUACAACAACAAUAUGUAAAAACAGGACAAUCUGUAAAGAUGCAGAUGAUGCAUAUACUUCUGUAACUCAAAAAAUUCUGAAAAAUUAGGACAAAAUAAAAAGUUUGCAUAUAAGUAUCACGUAAUUUAUUUAUUUUUGAAACGGAAACAUUAUUUGGAUAAAAAUAGAACAAAAAUGAAUACAAGAACAUUUUUCAAAAUUAUGAACUAAUAUUUGUAAAUGUAAAACUUUUUUCAAAAAGCAAUAACAAAAUUGAAAAGCUGAACAUUUUCCAAAAUUAAAACUAUUUUACAAAAGCUCAAGCAUUUUUUGAAUUUGUGAAUUAAUUUUGAAAACACAAAUAUUUUUCGAAAUUGUGAACAAAUUCUGAAAACUGUAGUAUUUUUAGAAUAUGUGAAAAUUUUGGUAAACAUGAACAUUUUUUAAAAUUCCAAAACAUUUUUUAAUUUGAGAACAAGAACUAAACAUGCAAACAUUUUUGAAUUUGACAACAAAUUCUGAAACAUGAAUAUUUUUUGAAUAUGUGAACAAAUUUUGAAAAGCAAAAUAUUUUCUGAAUUUGGGAAGAAAAUUUAAAACGGGAACAUUAUUUGAAAAUUCCCAAACACUUUCCAGUUUGUGAACAAAAUUUAAACAUGUGACCACUUUCUGAAUUUUUGAACAAAUUCUGAAAAUCUAGACAUUGUUUGAUUUGUGGAAAAAUUGAAAAGGUGAAUUUUCUAACUUUUCCUAUUAAUAUAAACAUUUUUUGAAUUUUGGAACAAAAUUUUAAAAUAAAGAACACAUUUUGAAUUUUGAACAAAUUUCGAAAUGGUGAACAUUUCUGAAAAUCGCAAACAAAUUUGAAACGUGAACAUUUUUUGAAUACAUGAAAAAAAAUUGAACACAAGAACACUUGAAUUUGUGAACAUUUUUUGAAAUCCAGGUGAUUAUUUGAAAAGUUAUGGUAAAUUAGAAAAAAAUAUGCUAUUUUUUAUAAAAACCUUUCCGAACAAGUAUUAAAAACAGAAACAAUUUUUGAAAUUCGUGAACAAUUUUUUAGAAGUGCAAACAUUUUUGAAUUCAUGAACAAUUUUUGAAACAACGACCAUUGUUAAAAUAUUGAACUGUUUUUAAAAGCACGAAUAUUUUUUAAGUUUCCAAUUUUUUGAAGACAUAAACUCUUAAAAAAGAAAAAUAAACUUGAAAAAUAAAAUAUGGAAAAUGAAAAAGAAACAACGAGAGGAAAAGAAAAGAAAAGUAAACAGAAAAACCAAAAACCAUGAAGAAAAUAGAAAAACCGGUUCAGGGAAUUUUCUAGAAAGUUCCAAAACCAGAAUAAAAACCCGGCUGGAAACUGAGAUUGCCAAAACCAGAAACACUGCACCACAUUAAUGGGUCGGCCAGGUAAUUCAAUCCCCAGCUCUUUGCAAAGGAUCGACACUUUGACACAUUGUGCGUCCAAUAAAAAAUUCUCGGAUUUUCGUGACCGGUCAGUGACCGGGCGGCUGUCCGGGCAUUUGUGGCCAGUUUGGGGCGCCCGGUUGUAGAUUCUUUUUAAGGGAUAAAAAAGACAUUUUAUUCAUCAAAGACCAGAGUGUGUGGGAUACACCUGAUGUCGUGGGGUUGGCCAAGCCAGACAUGGCGUCCCCCAACCUCUUGAAAAUGAAAUUUUGGCUAGAUUGUGUGCUUCAUAAUUAGCAGCACGACUCUCGAAAAUUAGAUUACAGUGAAACUGAGCUAGCUUGAUAUUAACCUCACUAUAGCGCCAAAUCUACCUGUACUUCCGUUCAUAAUAUGUGAGACAACUUGUUUGGAAUCACAUGCAAUAACAAAGUCUUGCAUGUUGAGAUCUUCGGCCAGGGCAUUCCUUCUCUGCAUGCUAUUGCUUCCAGGGCUGCUGGAUCGACGACCCCCUCAAUGACUAGUGUAGAACUGCCAAAUAAUGUCCGUUACUGUCUCGGCAUAUAGCUGCAGCUGCUCCUCCUCUGUCACGAAGCACACCUGCAUCCACAUGUAUUUUUGCAAAUCCAGCAGGGGGAGCCUUCGGUCUUUGUCUUCUGUUCUCCUGUUGUUGUGCUCGGCUGACUGAUGGUGUUGCUGGCUUGAUAGAGUCCAACUCCCCUAUAAAACUCUUGAUGAAAAGGAAAGCUGCUUAAGGAUUGGAAGAUUGUUUCAUGUAUAGCCUUACGUCGAGCGGUCCAAAUAGCCCAAAGAGUGACCAAGAGCAACACAAAUCUCUCAUGAGGUAGCGAUUCCAUCAGAGUAAACAGCCAUUGUUUGGCAUUCAGUUCAGUUGUGGAAACCAAAACCUGUGCCAACUCCUCAUCGACCAGAGCCCAGGUGCAUCACGCCGUGGUGCAGCUAAUCAAGGAAUGUCUCCAUGAGUCAGGCGAGCCGCAUAAUCCACAAGAUGAAUUGUCGGACAUAUGUCGAUUGUUGGAGCCGAGAGCACCGACGAAGCCUAGAUCGCGAUCACCGCAGAGAGCGAGAGGAAAACGAAGACGCCUGAGGUUUUUGUGCUGUGCACAGUUCUACAGCUUUUCUCAUUAAUCUUCAGCUUAUUUGUACAUCAACUAGGAAAGCGAAAAAUCCUCCACGCCGCCAAGCCUAUCGGAUGAGCCAUCCCACAUCGCCCGCCAUGCGUGAGGUGGGUGCAGGCCGAGUCCUACGCUGCAUGCCAUCCCAUGAGCUCACAACGGCCGCACUAAUCUAGCUAGCUACUAACUGAAAACGAAAACAGCUUCUGCGUGUACAUGCACAUGAGUCAGAGCCGGUUAUUCAGCUAACUGAAGAAAGCAAAAACUAUCUAACAGGCAAAAAGGAUUACAGGGUCAACAAUUCACCCCCUAAUCCUUGUGCCCUGGGAUCACCUUGACGACGCCGAGCUUCUGUCGGAGCUCAAUGAACUUGAUUCUGCCCAGCGCCUUGGUGAGGACAUCGGCAAGCUGUCCGUCAGUGCCAACAUGGUCGACAUCCACCUUGCCAUCUUCAAUGCAUUCACGAAUGAAAUGAUAUUGUAUGUCAAUGUGCUUACUUCUUUCGUGAUGCACCGGGUUCUUGCUGAGCUCUAUCGCCGACUUGUUGUCGACGCGCAGCUUCGCCGUCGUUGGCGCGUCGCCGGUGAGAUCACCGAGGAGCCUGCACAGCCACACGCCCUGGCAUGCUGCAGAUGCCGCCGCCAUGUACUCAGCCUCGCAAGACGAGAUGGCGACGACCUUUUGCUUCUGAGAAAUCCACGUGAUCGCGCUGGAGUCGAGGAAGAACACCACACCAGUCGUGCUCCGGCGAUCAUCAACGUUGCCGGCGUGAUCGCUGUCGCUGUAGCCGAUCACCUUCGACGCUGAAAUACCUCCCCGCUUGUAGCAGCAACCAUACUCCAAAGUUUCGCUGACAUAGCGGAGGAUUUGCUUCACCGUAGCUCAAUGCAACUCUACAGGCGCCUCUAGAUACCUGCUGACGAUGCCGACGGCGUAGGUGAUGUCGGGCCGUGUGUUGCAAAGGUAGCGAAGGCUGCCGACGACGCUCCUAUACCGUGUGGCGUCCACGGUGUCGCCGGCGCCAACCUUGGACAGCUGGAGACGAUUCUGCAUAGGAGUGUCGCUAGCAUUGCACCCCCUCAUCCCAGCAGCUUCGAGGAUCUUCAUGGCGUAGGCGCUCUGACAGAGAGUGACCUCUCCAUCCUUCUGUCGUACCUCGAUCCCAAGAUAAUAGCUCAGGAGGCCGAGAUCACUCAUGUCAAACACACUGCGCAUCUGCUCCUUGAACGCCUUGAUGUCGUCGAUGCUGCCACCGGUGAUGAUCAGAUCGUCCACGUACACGCCGACCAGCAGUGUCCCCGCGCCGGUGCUCCUCCUGUACACCGCAUGCUCGAGGGGGCUGCGCUCGAACCCGAGCGACGCAAGCAACGUGUCCAGCUUGGCGUACCACGCUCGGGGCACCUAUUUCAGACCGUACAAGGCCUUCCGGAGACGCAGCACCUUUCCUUCCUCACCGGCGAUGACAAAACCCGGUGGCUGGUGAACGUAGACCUCCUCGAUCAGGUCACCAUUCAAGAACGCUGACUGUUUCCAUGCGAGCUACCGGGGCGAACACCUCGUCGUAGUCCACGCCCUGCCGCUGCGAGUACCCCUUCGCCACUAAGCGCGCCUUGUGCUUCACAAUCUUGCCGGCGGGAUCCCUCUUGACCUUGAACACCCAUUUGAGCCCUAUCGCUCGGUGCCCAGGCGGGAGCACGGCAAGCUCCCAGGUCUUGUUCUCACGGAUCGCGACCAGCUCGGCGUCCAUGGCGCGCAUCCAGCACGCCUCCUCCAGCGCUUCAUCGACGCCAGCGGGUUCUUCAGCAGCGAUGAGGCAGAGACCCACUUGGUCUUCUCUUGCCGCUUCUACCUCAGCCAGUACAUGUGUCAUCUUGCGGUAGCGCGUUGGUGCAUGGUCGAGGUCGUGCCGCUCCCAGUCGUCACUGGGCGGCGUAGCCCAGCCGUCGUCAUCAGGGGCUGGAGAGCACACUGGCGUUGUCGGUGUGGCCGGACAGCUCCCCGGCGCGCAGGAGCUCGGUGAGGAGGAUGACGAGGACGACCCGUCUGAGCUCGACGAGGAGGGCUGCACGUCGAUGCUCUGUUCGUUGCUGUAGACGACCACAAAGUGUUCAUCCGUGGGAGUCGCCGCAGCGCCUGGCGCCGGCGUCCAGUCCCACUUCCUCUGUUCUUCAAAAAUGACGUCACGCGUGACGUGCACCUUGUUCAUGGCCGGAUCAAACACCCUGUAUGCCUUGGCUCCUUCGGCGUACCCGAUGAAAAUCAUCGGCGUUGAGCGGCCGGCCAAUUUGUCGAUGCCGGGGCCGACUCGCUUGAUGUGGGCGACGCACCCGAAUGUGCGCAGGUGAUGGACCGCCGGCUUCUUCUUGUGCCACACUUCGUACGGCGUCUGCCCGUCGCCGCUGCGCGUGGGGGAUCGAUUGAGCAGGUAAACCGCGGUCUUGACUGCGUCGCCCCAGAACAUGGCGGGCACGACCAUGCUCUUGAGAAGGCACCGCGCCAUCUCCACCACGGUCUGGUUGCGCCUCUCGACCACACUGUUUUGCUGCGGCGUGUAUGGCACGAUGAUGCAGUGCUUGAUCCCUCCAUCCUCGCAGUACAGACGGAAUUCUGUGGAGUUGAACUCCCCGCCCCGAUCGGAGCGGAAUGCCAUGAGCCGGCGCCUAGAUUCAGCUUCAGAAAGGGCCUUGAACCUUUUGAAACGUUGAAACGCCUCAUCCUUGGAUUUGAUCACCUCCAGCCACAUGUAACGUGAGUGAUCAUCAACUACCAGCAGGAAAUACCGAUUACCUCCGGUCGUCGCCGGCUUGAUCGGACCACAGAGGUCCGUGUGGAUGAGCUCGAGCGCAUCCUCCGCGCGGUACGCCAAGGCCUGCAAGAACGGGAGCCGGUGCUGCUUGCCCAGGGCGCAUCCGUCGUAGUACUGGUCGACGCGGUCGACGAGGGGCACUCCAUUUGCCAUCUCUAGGCACGCGAGUUCGCGCAACGCCCUAAAGUUCAGGUGGCCGCAGCGCGAAUGCCAGAGCCAUGUCAUGUCGUCGCUGCUCGCCAGCAGGCACACCGGCUUGGUUAGCGCCAGGGGGAGGACGUAGAGACACCCAGUGUUGCGCGCCACGCGCGCGAGCAGCCGCCCAUCCGAAUUUCGGAGGCGAAGGACCCCGUCGUGGAUCACCGUCUCGCAGCCGAGCUCAUCCAUCUGACCAAUGCUCAAGAUGUUGUUGCACAGACGGGGUAUGUAGUAUACCUCUGCAACCCUCAGGUGUUCCCCACUGCGGCACUUGAAGAGGAUCGUCCCUCUCCCCUCGAUCUGCACACUGGAGCCGUCGCCGAGCCUCACGGUCCCCCGCGCUCCCACAUCAAGCUCGGAGAAGAUCUCGCGGCGACCGGACAUAUGAUUGCUAGCCCCGGUGUCCAGAUACCAGGAGGUGUCGCAGGUGCCACCCUCCUGUGCAACCCGCGCCUGGGAGCGUUCCUCGUUGAGAAGAACCCGCUCGACCGGGCGCUCAGUCGUGACCGUGAGCGCGGUGACCGUGGUGAGCAGAAGAGUCGCUUCAUCAUCUUGGUUGCCCGCCACCGCAAGGUUCGCCUGAUCCUUGCGUUCACGGCGCGGCUCGGUGCAAUGCUUCGAGAAAUGCCUAGGUUUAUUGCAAUUGUAGCACUUCACGUGAGACAUGUCGCGUUCCCCGUUCGGCGCGCCUUCACGGCCGCCGUUUCCGCCACCGCCUUGGCUGCCGCCUCGACGUGGCUUGCCGCGGCGACGAUUUGAGUCGCCGCCUUGUCCACCGGACCCGCCUGGUCCGCCGAGGCCUCCUUGGCCGCCGUUCUGGCUGCCGCCCUGCCCUUGGCCGCGCUGAUUCUUGCGCGCGUGCCACUGCGCCUCCGUCAUCAGGAGCUGAGCCCCGCCGCCUCCACCUUGAUCGUUGGUGAGGUAGCGCUCCUCCGCAGAGCGCAGACGGCCGACGAGCUCCUCAACUGAAAGCGUGUUGAGGUCGAGCAUCGUCUCGAUGGCGAGGGCGAUCUGCAUGUAGCGGGGCGGGACGACACGCAGGAAUUUCUGAACCACCCUCACCUCUUCCAUGCUGUCGCCGAGUGAGCGCAGGUUGUUGACGAGUGAAGUGAUCCGCAUGCCGAACGCGUCAAGCGUCUCGCCGUCGCGGAAUGCGAUCGCCUCGAACUCAGAGCGCAGCCAUUGCGUCGUGGCCUUGCGCACGCGUGCGACUCCCAUGCGCAUGGUCUUUAUCGUAUCCCAUGCCUCCUUUGCGGUCUUCUUAACCACGAUCGCACCCACCAUCUCCGGCGGUAUGGAUCACAGAAUGGCCGCCAGCGCCGCCUUGUCGUUGGGGACGCUCGACGGGUUCCCUUCCACCGCGUCCCACAUCAAGUUGGCCUCCAUGUUAAUCUGCAUCAACAUAGACCACUGGAAGUAGUUUGUCGGCGUGAGCAUCGGCCACACGGUGGUGCCGCUCGGGACGAGACACUCCUGGACCGUGCGCUCGUGGACGACGACCUCCUUGCCGUAUCGGCGGGUGCGGCUACGACCACGGCUACGACUGCGGUCGGGAGUCGGCGAGCGCGCACCACCACUGCCGAUGCCCUCGCGCUGGUGGGCUGUUGCGUUCGCCGGGGAAGUCGAGCCGGCCAUGGUCACCGAGGAACUACGCGGCUCUGAUGCCACUUGUUGGAGCCGAGAGCACCGACGAGUCCUAGAUCGCGAUCACCGCAGAGAGCGAGAGGAAAACGAAGACGCCUGAUGUUUUUGUGCUACGCACAAUUCUACAGCUUUUCUCAUUAAUCUUCAGCUUAUUUGUACAUCAACUAGGAAAGCAAAAAAUCCUCCACGCCGCCGAGCCUACCGGAUGUGCCAUCCCACAUUGCCCGUCGUGCGUGAGGUGGGUGCAGGCCGAGUCCUACGCUGCAUGCCAUCCCAUGAGCUCACAACGGCCGCACUAAUCUAGCUAGCUACUAACUGAAAACAAAACAGCUUCUGCGUGUACAUGCACACGAGUCAGAGCCGGUUAUUCAGCUAAGCAAAAACUAUCUAACAGGCAAAAAGGAUUACAGGCUCAACAUCCAUGUGUUCUCACAUCUUCCGUAGGCAGGGAGUGCUUAGACAGCCUCCAUAAGAACAUUCUUAUUUUCCCAGGCACUUGUGUUUUCCAUAGCCUCUUCCAAGAGCUUGAAUUAGCAGCUGUACUUGAGGUACCAGAUGUACCUUCCGACCAUGCCUCACACCGUUGUUUGAUAGCCACAAGCAUGUUGUAUGCUGUUUUCACAGAGAAGACUCCUUGCUUGUCAAAGUGCUAGCUCCAGAAAUCUUGCAUCGAUCUUGUACAAAGCGGGAUCCCCAUAAUAACUCGUGCAUCCAUCGGUAGGAAAACCUCCUCCACCCGAGCUUUGUUCCACGUAGUUGUGGUGUGAUCGAUUAAUUCAGACACCAUAACAGGCGGGUUGGGGACCUGACAGCCAUAAGGCCUCAUGUUCUCAUCCCGUGGCAGCCAUGCAUCCUCCCAAAUCUCUGUUUCAGCACCAUUACCAACUCGUUUUAUCAGCCCUAUUUUUAGCGUGUCUCUUCCUUCGAUGAUCGCCCGCGAAAUCUGAAUCAGAUGGCCUCCCAAGUUUGCUUGCAGGAUCGUUGAGUUUGGAUAAUAUAUGCUUUUAAGUAACCGUGCACUUAAGGAGUCUGGACUUUGUAACAGAUGCCACGUCUGUCUCGCUAGCAUGGCCAUGCUGAAAAGCUCGAAAUCCUUGAACCCUAGGCCGCCCAUACUCUUGGGCUGGGUCAUUGAUUUCCAAGAGACCUAGUGUGGCUUGCGUUUCCCAUCCUUACUCCCCCACCAAAACUUUCUAUGAGCAUGUUCAGAUGUUCACACAACCCUCUAGGCAACUUGAAGCAGGACAUAGAGAAAACUAGAACGGCCUGUGCUACUGACUUAACAAGUACCUGCUGGCCUGUCGUUGACAAGGUGUUCUCAAGCCAUCCUUGAACCUUACUCCAGAGCCAAUCCUUUAAGUACUUGAAAGCACCAUUCUUAAAACCUCGAGUAUUUAACCAAAAACUACCACAAUUCGCGGAAACGUGACAGAAAACUACCACUUUACGUUUUUGUCCUGAAAACUACCAUUUUUUUAUUAAUCCGUGACAAAAAACUACCAAGUGUGAAAACUGCUCGCUUUGCCUGGGUUAAACGCGAAUCUGACUACCCGACCCCACACAUAAACGGGCUAAAAAUGCAAUCGGGUCCCUAGCUUUUCUUCAAAAAAGCAAUCGGGUCCUCCACCUCCUUCUCCUCCUCGCGCCGGCCUCCUCCUUCCCCAGCCGUCCGCAGCUUGCUGCUGCUGCUCGCCAUCGCUCUCGCUUGCCGUCCGCAGCUGCUGCUUGCUUCCGCCACCGCUGCUGCUUGCCGUUGCUCUCGCUUGCCAUCGCCAAUAGAGUCGCUGACGAGCUGCGCCGGCUGGACCUGCACGGAGGAGCGGGAGGCGGGCGACGCAACUCGUUCCGCAAGCGGGACUCGCGCUCCUGCAGCUCCUCGUCGAGGCGCGCCUGCUCGGCGGCGUCCGGCACCGUGGCCACGCGCGCCGGCUACACCUCCACGGAGGAGCGGGAGGCACGUCGGCGGACGGGAUGCUUGCUUAUCUAGGGACGACCACCCGCCGCCGGGCCUCGACAACGACGUGGACUUGCCGCAGCAGCAGACGUUCCCGUCCGCCGGCGGCAAGCGGCUGGGGAAGGAGGAGGCCGGCGACGAGGAGGAGAAGGAGGCGGAGGACCCGAUUGCUUUUUUGAAGAAAAACUAGGGACCCGAUUGCAUAUUUAGCCCGUUUAUGUGUGGGGUCGGGCAGUCAGAUUCGCGUUUAACCCAGGCAAAGCGAGCAGUUUUCACACUUGGUAGUUUUUUGUCACGGAUUAAUAAAAAAGUGGUAGUUUUCGGGACAAAAUCGUAAAGUGGUAGUUUUCUGUCACGUUUCCGCGAAUUGUGGUAGUUUUUGGUUAAAUACUCUAGAACCUCCUAUGUUUGACGGUAUGCCCAAGUACUUUUCAUUCAGUGUUUCAUGUGGGACAUUUAGCAAGCCUUCUAUUUCUAAUCUAGAGCUUUCCGGCACCCCUUCGUUGCAAAAGAUUGAAGACUUCAAAAAAUUGAUGCACUGCCCUGAAGCUUGGCAAUAACUGUUCAAAACAUGGUUCACCUCCGUAGCUCCAACACUGUUAGCCUUGAAAAACAGCAGGCUGUCAUCAGCGAAUAGAAGAUGAUUCACCGGUGGCGCUGAGGGUUCCACUCGUAGACCAUGCAAAUUUGAUGACUCUCCUUUAGAUUUUAGUAGGCACGUCAGGCCCUCUGCUGCUAACAAGAACAAGUAUGGAGAUAUUAGGUCCCUGAUGUGCACAACAAUGGUUUUAUUGUUUUUUUAGUCCAAAACACGGCUGGUUUACUUGGUGCUACUCCACGUACUGAACAGAAGACGCGCUUGACAAGAUAUUCAGAUGCAAGUAUACUGGAGCAUUCAAGAUAUGAUCUACCAAAUGUUUUACAGAUCAGUUCAUUUAAUUUCAAGAUUCCACCAGUCGAACCAAAGAAAGAUACUGUCAGACCAAACUUCAGGACUCCUCCAAGAUAAAUGGAUGUUGGUGCCUUCUUCGUUCAGUAGCAGACAAAGUCCUUUUUUUUUCUAAACAAGUCCUAUGUAAUCAACGUGGCCGGAAAUAUUAAUUAAAGUAUUUAAUUAGGAAAUACACUAGGCGAGAGAAGACGUGUCCUGGUUAUUAUUUUUUUUGAAGUAGCAUACGUGAUCGAGUCGGUUAGAGUUUGGUACGCCGAUUACGGCCUGGUUUGCAUCGCCUAUAUAUUGGGCAUAGUCAGUUUUGUAUCGGGCAGAUUUGUUUUAGUUUGAAGUUGAUAAACACAACAGAAAAGGCCUCACGUUAGGAGGCAUCAAGGAUGUGUUCUUGCGAAUCCUACGAAUUGGUUGCUGUUGUGCUCGUGUCUGAUCUCAUAUCAGUUUCGCUGCAAGUCUUCUCCUUUGGUUUCUUACCUUAUCCGUUUGAUCCGAAGGUUUCUUUUCUUCUAUGCCUAUUUCUUCUACGACUUUUGCUGCCAUUGUUCAUUGUUAUUUUGCAAGUACCGUGGAAGAUCGGACCAGUCAGCGACUCAUCGUCUAGUCGAGUCAUAUCAAAUGGUAUUCAGAGCUAAGGUUGUUCACGAUACUGUGUUGAUUAAGAUGUCAACUUCGGUCAACAAGGUUGAUGAGGUUGCUGCUGAUUCUGAGAAAGUUGUGCGUCCACACUAUAAAAAAAUACACUUCUGUGAUGAUACGUGUUUGUCGCAGUAGGUCGCGUUUUUUGUCAUGCAUGUACAUCCAUGACAAAUUUAUGACAGAAUCAAGAUAGUCAUACCUGUGUUGUUGUAGAAGUGUUCCAUGACAUUACCAAAAUUAUCAUCACGGAAGUGUCCACUUCCAUGAUGAUAAAUCGCGCGUCACAGAAGUGCUUUCGUCAAGGGUGGCCGACACGUGGCAUCCACCGUAACGGAACGCCGUUAAGCUAUCGGGUCGGGUUUUGAAUCCGAUAACCCGUUAACAGCCUCGACCAAUGGGGAUUUUCCACGUGUAAAAUCAUCAUUGGCUGGAGGAAACACGUGUCGGCUCAUUGUUGGGACAGAUGCCAUCCACUCAUUGGACGAAAGGCGCUUAUGAUACGUCGACACGUGGCACGGCCCAACAGAGGCCCAUUCCUAUGAAAAGGCCGGCCCAGUAAAAAAUAGCAGGCCAGCCCAUAUAAGGCCUACUUGUGUCUGGUCCAUUUAAGCCCACGGCCCAUACGAGAUGUGCCAAUUCGGCCCGUCAACGGCCCGUUAAAGAUUUGACACCAUUGCAGCCCAUCGUCAGUUCGAACCCGUUAAUGUCCGCUAUAUAUUUGGGCUCAAUAUCGGCCCGAUGAGAUUUCGGCCUGUUAACGGCCCAUUUAAUGGAUGGGCCAAUUUUCAGGAUGUACAUCUUUCAGCCUUUUAGCGACCCAUUUAAAUGUUGGGCUAAUUUCCGGCCCGGUGUGUCUUUUAGCCUGUUGACGGCCCAUAAAUCUGAUGGGCCAUUUGUUGUCGGACCUGAGUUUUGGCCUUUUAGCGGCCCAUUUAAGUGUUGGGCCAAUUUCUGGCCCGAUGUCACUUUCAGCCUGUUGACGGCCCAUAAAUCAGUCGGGCCAUUUGUAGUCGGACCUGAGUGUUGGCCUUUUAGCGACCCAUUUAAGUGUUGGGCCAAUUCCCGGCCCUGUGUGCCUUUCGGCCCGUUAACGGACCAUAAAUGAGUUGGGCCAUUUGCAGUCGGACCUUAGUUUUGGCCUUUUAACGGCCCAUGCCCUUCAUGGUCCAAUACCAGCCUGGUUUCUCUUUCGGCCUGCUAAAGGCCCACAACACAAUUGGGCCAUUUACAAUACAACCUGACUUUCGGCCUCUUAGCGGCCCAUGGUCUUCAUGGUCCAGUCCAAGCCUGCUGUCUCUUUCGGCCUGCUAAAGGCCUACAGUAUAGUUGGGUCAUAUGUAGCCCAAACUUAGUAACGGCCUGUUAACGGCCCGUGAAAUAAAUUGGGGCCACCUGUUGCCUGCUUCGAUGUCGGCCUGUUAACGACCCGGGAGGUAAGAGGGCCGACCAUUAACUUUUGGCUUAGUAAUGGCCCAUUAACUUAAUGGGCCCACUAAAGUUCGUACAUGUCUUUAGGCCAAAUUAGAUAAUCUGAGUCCAUUACGACGAGCAAUUAUGCACAGGACCAAAACCGAUCAAGCAAAGGUACGGCAUACAGGGAAUAACGUUGCACAUCCAGCAUAUAUUACAGGAAAUUACAUCCACUGGGCAAUCAAAGAUUGAUGCCAGUGCAAAUAAAUGAGCAGAACCUAAUCAUCUACAACGUCACAAUCUGCAACCUCAGCACAGAUGACGCCCAUAAGCAUGUGGGCAAGUUCUUUCUGCUUUGCUACACUGUCUCUGAAAACAUUGAUCAAUUGUUGUGUCGCACGACUCUGCACCUCUGAUUCAUCCACCAUUUCCAUCAUUGCUUCAGCCAUUAAUUGGUUCACAAACGUACAUUUAUUCCGCUGCAUUCGAGAUAGAGGAUACUGAACAGAUUCAGAUGGCGAUUUUGGCAGGCUUGUAUUAUUGAUAGUGGAGAGUGUCUCGACCACUGCAUCAUAACAUAAAUUAGGACGGGAACCAAACAGAUUAAUCAUGAGUUAUUGCCAUAUUACCUGGCCUAUAUUUACUGGAAAGAAACAAUGGGGUUGCCUUGCUGUUUUCAGAGUUUGUCUUCUUAUCUUCAGCAGCCUGCACAAAAUUAACACACUAGAAUUGCUAUCAUUGGCCAAGUCAGAUAAUAGGAAAGCAACAUUGACACAACGAACGUUUGGGCAACUAGCCUACACCAAAUUAACACAAUAUGGCACAGCUAUCAUCAGUCAGGUAAGGUAGCAUGAAAGCAACAUUGACAUAAUGAAUGAAUGGGCAACCAAAGAAGCACUACAAUUCAGUAAUGUGCGUGAUAUGAGAUAGUACAUUCAUGCAGCUCAGUAUGCAAAACUACCAGGCAGUUUUCCUUACAAAAAUCAACAUUGGCGCCUUUAACAUUUUGCUACAACUAAUUUUAGAUCAUAUAAAUGUUAGAUUCACGCCGAUUAACAAAAUACAUGUUGAUGUAAAAAUAUAGUGAUAUACAACAUGUACUUACAUCAGCAUUGGAGCACAGAGAAUUCCCGCAAGAUAUUUUCCUCGAAUAUGAUCCCAAUGGAGGAAGUCUUCUAUCGUUUAACCUUAUUUUCUAAAAGAGAGAUGGGUAAGAAACAUGUAGAAAAUAUGAUUAGAAUGCUAUAAAAUUUCAUGAUGCUCGGAUACGCACACGCUUCUUAGAAUGGAGUUGACAUUCUUUUGCUGGACUGGAGCGGACUAGUUCUUUGGCCACUGGAAUCUGCUUAUUAUCAGUGGGAGUUGGGUUUCUCUGUGCUGGAGUAGUAUCUAUGAAAAAUAGAGUUGGUUUAUUAUCUCCUGGCGUUUGGAUCUUUUGCAAAGACCUGGUUUGUAACCCUUCAGAUUCUAACAUAGUCGUCUUCCCCUUGCAUGCCUUAUAUAGAAGAAUGGUGAUUCAGUUAUAAAACAUGCUACAGCAGAGAUGGAAUAGGUACUGAAGAAUAGAAAGGUGUGACAUAUUGACAUGUAUUCCCUCCAUCCGGAAAUAAAUGGACGGGUCUAGGCGUAUUUCAGUUCUAGAUACAUCCAGUUUUAUCCAUUUCUGCGACAUUUAAUCCGGACAGAGGGAGUAUGAUGUAAGAGCUAGGGAUACGACAGGACAACACAGUAAAAAAACACUGAAAAACCCACUGCAGAACCGAAGUAUUCAAACCCACUGAUAUGAGAUAGUACACUCAUGCAGCUCAGAAUGCAAAACUACCAGGCAGUUUUCCUUACAAAAAUCAACAUUGUGGCCUUUAAUCAUACAUUUUGCUACAACUAAAUUUAGAUCAGAUAAAGGUUGGAUUCACGCCGAUUAACAAAAUACAUGCUGAUGUAAAAAUAUAGUGAUAUACAACAGGUACUUACAUCUACAUUGGAGCACAGAGAAUUCCUGCAAGAAUCUUUCCUCAUAAACGAUACCAUUGCAGAAAUUCUUCUAUCUGUUAAGCUUAUUUUCUAGAAGAGAGAUGGGUAAGAAACAUGUAGAAAAUAUGAUCAGCAUGCUAUAAAAUUUCAUGAUGCAAGGAUACACACACGCUUCUUAGAAUUCAGUUGACAUAUUUUUGAUGGACUGGAGCGAACUAGUUCUUUGGCCACUGGAAUCUGCUUAUUAUCAGUAGGAGUUGGGUUUCUCUGUGCUGGAGCGGUAUCUAUAAAAACUAGAGUCCGUUUAUUAUCUCCUGGCGUUUGGAUCUUUUGCAAAGGCCUUGUUUGUAACCCUUCAUAUUCUAACAUAGUCAUCUUCCCCUUGCAUGCCUUGUAUAGAAGAAUGGUGCUCUAAUUAUAAAACAUGCGACAGCAGAGAGAUGGAAUAGGUACUGAAGAAUAAAAAGGCAUGACAUAUUGACAUGUAUUCCCUCCAUCCAGAAAAAAAUGGAUGGGUCUAGGCGUAUUUCAGUUCUAGAUACAUCCUUUUUUAUCCAUUUCGACAACAUGUAAUCUGGACGGAGGGAGUAUGGUGUAAGAGCUAGGGAUACGACAGGACAACACAGCAAAAAAACACUAGUUGAAUGUAAAACUAUAUGCUAGCGGAAUACAUACAGAAAUAACUAAGGCAACAUACAUGUGUAUGAUUGGGAAAAUAAGAUGGCAUUGCAACAGAGCACUAGAACAGCACUUCAAUGUAAAAAAACAUGGUAUGGCAGACAGAUGAAGUACAUACUGAUGAAUAACAAUGCAUAAGAUAUUCAGAAGCAUUAUGUCCAAAUUAAGCAGAUGGCAUUGCGAUAGUGUAUAAUGACAGUACUUGAAUUUGAAAACAUGUUAUCAUGAAUGGAAUAGGUACUGAAAAACAGGAAGGCAUGACAUAUUUACAUGCAUGAUCAGCAUGCUAAGCACAUGGCAUUGCAAGAGAGUAGAUAUACUCCAGGACAUUAUAUGCAUGUUGUACCCAUAUCACAGGCCAAGUUAGAGCAAGGACCUUGUGGGGUGAAGAGGAUUCAUCAUCUUUCUGCAAGUCUUCUGAAGAACUGCCUUUACAUGUUCCAUCAUAUUGGGUAUCAUUGACAUCAAGUUUAUUGGCCUUUACAUUGCUCCGUGAGGUUCUUGUGGAUAUAUCAAUGUGUGCAAUUAUAUCUGACAUGCAUGGAAGACAACUAGUAGUUAGAUUUAUGUAAAUGACUGCUUGUAGGAGACGACAUAAAUAGUAGGACUGGGGUUAACUAGCAGCAACAGGUCUCAUAAACUAAAGGGAGAACACAGAUGAAAGCUACAGAAUAUGUAUCGUUUGUACUCGAGAUUAACUAGAUGGCACACAAAAGUAUUAAAGAACAACAUAGGUAAUACUAGAAGUGGUAUAAUACUAUAAUCACCAGCCUGUGGGAUAGCAUUGGCUGAUGGAUGAUAACUAUGGAACAGCGUUACCUAAAGAACAAGUAUCUUAGCUGAACUAUGGAACAGCGUGAACUCCUGAACAAGACCCGUAAGAGAUCAACAUGAAUAUACAGUGAAAUGUGAUGAUCUAUUUUCCGUGCUUAGAUGAAUAACAAAGCCAUAAAUGUUGCACACAAGUAAGAUGAGGGUACAACCUAUCUGAUUGCCAUCCAUAGGAGUGAGCAUCAUGUGCUGACUUUUUGAUGGCCCUGCAGUUGUUGUGGUUGUCCAUGUCGGGCACGCGCAUUUGAUGCAGGGAACUGUUGAGUGGGGACUGUAGCUCCCUUCUAGUGUAUUCUUCCCUUGUUGGGGCAGCGGCGGUGAGUCGGAAGAUGGUGUGUCUGAAGAUGCAGAUAAUGCAUAAUGUUAAGAACGACAUAUCUCUUUGAUAUGAAGAAAUACACUAAGAGAUCAACAGCAAGGUACGAUAGUGGUCUAAUAUGUCUCCGUCGUAUCUAUAAUUUUUGAUUGUUCCAUGCCAAUAUUAUUCAACUUUCAUAUACUUUUGGCAACUUUUUAUAUUAUUUUUGGGACUAACAUAUUGAUUCAGUGCCCAGUGCCAGUUCCUGUCUGUUACAUGUUUUUUGUUUCGCAGAAACCCAAUAUCAAACUGAGUCCAAACGGGAUAAAAAUGGCCGGAGAUUUUUUUUGGAAUAUUUAUGAUUUUUGGGAAGUGAAAUCAACGCGAAACGGUGUCCGGGGUGGUCACGAGGUAGGGGGCGCGCCCUACCCCCCAGGCGCGCCCCUGACCCUCGUGGUCCACCCGUAAGGCGGUUGACGCUAUUAUUUGGGCACAAGAAAGCUAAUUUUAUGAGAAAGAUCUGGGCGAAAGAUUCACCCCAAUCGGAGUUACAGAUCUCCAGAUAUAAAGGAAACGGUGAAGGGGUAGACGCAGAGAACGCAGAAACAGAGAGAUAGAUCCAAUCUCGGAGGGGCUCUCGCCCCUCCGACGCCAUGGGAGCCAAGGACCAGAGGGGAAACCCUUCUCCCAUCUAGGGAGGAGGUCAAGGAAGAAGAAGAAGAAGGGGGGCCUCUCCCCCUUGCUUCCGGUGGCGCCGGAGCACUGCCGGGGGCCAUCAUCAUCACCACGAUCUUCACCAACACCGCCGUCAUCUUCACCAACAUCUCCAUCACCUUCCCCCUCCUAUAUCCAGCAGUCCACUCUCCCGCAUCCCGCUGUACCCUCUACUUGAACAUGAUGCUUUAUGCUUCAUAUUAUUAUCCAAUGAUGUGUUGCCAUCCUAUGAUGUCUGAGUAGAUUUUUGUUGUCCUAUCGGUGAUUGAUGAAUUGCUAUGAUUGGUUUGAGUUGCAUGUUUUAUUAUUGGUGUUGUCCUAUGGUGCUCUCCGUGUCGCGCAAGCGUGAGGGAUUCCCGCUGUAGGGUUUGCAGUAUGUUUAUGAUUUGCUUAUGGUGAGUGGCGUGAGUGACAGAAGCACAGACCCGAGUAAGUAGAUUGUUUGCGUAUGGGAUAAAAGGGGACUUGAUGCUUUAAUGCUAUGGUUGGGUUUUACCUUUAUGAAUCUUUAGUAGUUGCGGAUGCUUGCUAGAGUUCCAAUCAUAAGUGCAUAUGAUCCAAGUAGAGAAAGUAUGUUAGCUUAUGCCUCUCCCUCAAAUAGAAUUGCAACAGUGAUUACCGGUCUAGUAACAUAGUCAAUUGCUUAGGGACAAUUUCACAACUCCUACCACCACUUUACCACACUCGCUAUAUUUACUUUCUUGCUUCUAAACAGCCCCUAGUUUAUGUUUACGUGCUCUUUAUUAUCUUGCAAACCUAUCCUAUCACACCUACAAAGUACUUCUAGUUUCAUACUUGUUCUAGGUAAAGCGAACGUCAAGCGUGCGUAGAGUUGUGUCGGUGGUCGAUAGAACUUGAGGGAAUAUUUAUUCUACCUUUAGCUCCUCGUUGGGUUCGACACUCUUACUUAUCGAAAACCGUUGCGAUCCCCUAUACUUGUGGGUUAUCAAGACCUUUUUCUGGCGCCGUUGCCGGGGAGUCAUAGCGUGGGGUGAAUAUUCUCGUGUGUGCUUGUUUGCUUUAUCACUAAGUAAUUUUAUUUGUUGUUCUAAGUUGUUCUCUAUCUUUAGUUAUGGAUAUGGAACGCAAAAUACCAAAAAAAUUAGAUGUACUUGCUACUCAUGAAGAUGGGGUAACUCCUAAAACCCCCGACUCUCAUAAUGCGAGAGAUAUUAUGUACUACUUUGAUAAUCCUGAGAAAGCCCCAUUCAACUUUAUAAUGGGAGACACGUUGGAUCAACGUGAAUACUUUAGGGAUUAUCGCUCGACACAAAAAGUGAAACUAUUAUGGGAUCAAUUUAUUAUGUUGCGUUGGUAUGCCUAGAAUCUAUGCUUGAGAUAUGAUAUUACUUGUUGCUCUAGGAUGGAGGCUCCACACCUCCCCUUUUCAUGCAAAUUUAAUGAUAAUGAAACCUUAGCUUCCUAUGCUAAUGGUAUAUAUGAUUACUAUGAUGUGGAACAAAUAGAAGAAUUUGUUGCUUUUAAGGCUGCCUAUGAUAUUGAAGCUUUGUUUGAAAAGUAUGAAGCUUUUGAUGAUGAUGGUUAUAGGCCGGAAAAUCUUGCUAUACUUGGAUAUUGCUAUGCAAAUUAUGAAUACAAUUAAUAUAUUAAUGCUUUUAUGAAGAAAGUCAACGUUGUCCAAGAAAAGAAUAAUAUAUUGCAGGAAGCUAUGGAAGAAGAAAUUGAUGAAACAGUGAGCUCAUUGGAUGAAAAAGAUGAUGAGGAGAGCGAAGAACAAAAGGAGGAAGAGCGGAUUGAUCACCCGUGCCCACCUUCUAAUGAGAGUAACCCUCCAACUCAUACAUUAUUUAAUUCCCCUUCGUGCUCACCGAAGGAUGAUUGCUAUGAUGAUUGCUAUGAUCCCUUGAAUUUGUUUGAAAUAUCCCUUUUUGAUGAUGCUUGCUAUGCUUGUGGCCAAGAUGCCAAUAUGAAUUAUGCUUAUGGAGAUGAACUUGCUAUAGUUCCUUAUGUUAAACAUGAAAUUUUCACUAUUGCACCCACGCAUGAUAGUCCUAUUAUCUUUUUGAAUUCUCCCGAUUAUACUAUAUCGGAGAAGUUUGCAUUUAUUAAGGAUUAUAUUGAUGGGUUGCCUUUUACCGUUGCACAUGAUGAUUUUGAUAAAUAUAAUAUGCAUGUGCUUGCUGCUCCUACUUGCAACUAUUAUGAGAGGAACUCUACCUCCACCUCUCUAUGUUUUCCAUACGAUAGAAUUGCAAGAAAUUGCUUAUACUAUGCAUUGGCCUUUACUUGGUGUGCGUGAAUUGUUAUUUUAUGACAUGCCGAUGCAUAGGAAGAGAGUUAGACUUCGUUGUUGCAUGAUUUAUGUUACUUUGUGCUCACUACUAAAUUACAAAUCAUUGUUAAUUAAAAUUGGCUUUGAUAUACCUUGGGAUCCAGGUGGAUUCAUUACUUGAGCACUAUAUGCCUAGCUUAAUGGCUUUAAAGAAAGCGCUGCCAGGGAGACAACCCGGAAGUUUUAGAGAGUCAUUUAUUUCUGUUGAGUGCUUUUAUAUAGUUUGAAAACAAAACAAAAAAUAAAGAGGGGAACCUAAAACUUUUCAAAAGGAAAGUGAAAGUGAGAGAGACAAGCAUUGUUGAAGUGGGAGAGCUCCUUGAACUUUGUUCAUGCUCACGGAAACUUUGUGAAUCUUGAUUACAGAAACUUUUCAUCAGAAAUAAUUAUCCCCUUGUACAAUUACAUUGUAUUAUAAAAAUAAUGUGCUAAGGUUUGCUUUUAGGAUGUGUCACAUCCCUAGCUUCAGGCAUUGCUCUAGGUUAGCUUCAUGUGUGCAUCAUGUCUAUAUUUUUGAAACUUGAAUUGAGGAAUAUUGGAAGCCUCAAAACCCUAAAUAAAAGAGGGGCAAAAACCCUAGAAAUCUCAUUCAUUGCUCCAAAAGGCUCUUCUUAAAUGUUUGAUAAUUUUUGGUAAGGGUUCUGGUCCCAACCAAAAUAUUGAACAUUUUUAAGGAUUUAUUUUUGGGACUUUGAAUUUAAAUCAUUAGCUAUUUGAAUUUGAAUUAUAUUCAUAUAAUUAGAAUAUAAUUUCAAAUACCCCUGAAAUAUUUUAUGAGCUUUUGGAAAAGUCCAUCUAGCCAAAUAAAAUUAUUCAGAGGAGUUUUUGGCAUUGUUUGAAUUUGUUUAAAAUUCAAAACAGUGGCAAAAUAAAUUAAAUAAAACAAACAGAACAAAAAAAAUAAAAAGGAGCAAGCCUACCUGGCCUUACCCGCGCAGCCACCAGAGCCGGCCCAGUUCCCCCCCCCCCAGCCGGCCCAGCCCACCUCCCCCCUUGUCCUCUUCUUCCUCUGCCAGUAGGCAGAGGCGAGGCGUGGCGCGCGCCCGAAGAGCGCCGGCCACCUCCUGCUUCGCCGUGGCAGCCUCCCUGCCUCCCUCCUCGACGCCCGGAGACGCCACGCCACCCCCUCGGACCCCUCUCACUCUUCCUCGAGGCCCCGCCCCUCUGCUCUUUCUCUCUCGCCCGAACCCGAACACAGCCGUCGCCACCGACGCCGUUCGCCGCGGCCACCAUCCCCCUCUCGCCUCCCCGACGCCUCCCAGAGCUCCGCAAGUCCUCCCUCGUCCUCCUCGUCGUCUCACGCGACCAGAAGAGCCCCGGAACGCCGCCCCCGAUGUUUUCCCCCUCGCCGGCCGCCGAGGAUCUUCUCCGUCGAAUUCGGCCACUCCGGCGCGCCCCCGAGCUCGCUGACCCUCCCUGCGCGAUCCCCAUGAGUCUCUGCUCCGUUUCCCCCUAACCCCAAGUUCGAUUUCGAGCUCUAGCCGCCCCCUCUACCGGAGCCGAGACGCUCCGCCGCACGGACUCGUCGCCGGCGAAGCCCCGGUGACCAAACGGCCCCGCGCGUGCGUCCGUUGCACUCGCAACGACCCGUGGAGCAACGCUAGCGUGGCAGCUAGCUUGUUUGCAAGCCACAGCACUAACCCCGCACCCACCCGAGCUCCGACCGCCGCCUCGGGCUCCACUCCGGCGGACUCCGUCCACCCCCGCACCUCCCGUUGGCCCCCCUAGGUGCGCACGGGCACGGGCUACCUUCUGGUGCCCUUCGCGCGUCCAGCCGUCGCCCGUAGCGCAACCCCGGUGAACUUCCGCCGCGUUCCGGGUCGCCGCCGGCCGAACUCCGGUGGCCAGUGACGUGGCUGGCUUAAUUAGCCACUAAUCACCGCUUUGUGACACUGACAGCAGGGCCCACCUGCUAAUUAAUCAUAGAUUAGUUUCUGUUUAGUUUUUAACUAAUCCAGUGGCCCCACCCGUCAGCAUUGACUCUGCUGACGUGGCCUUUGACCCGGCCCCACCUGCCAUUGACACUAAACAGCCCUGGGUCACUGACCAGUGGACCCCACUGGUCAGGUUUGACCUGGAGGCGCCCUGUUGACCUGCUGACGUCAAGGUGAUGACAUGCUGACGCCAUAAUUCAUUUUCUGGAAUUAUUUUAAUUCUAAAUAAUCAGAAAAAUCCAGAAAAUUGUAUAAACUUCUAAAAUUCAUAGAAAAUUAACCGUAACUCCAAAUUAAAUAAUUUAUAUAUGAAAAAUUAUCAGAAAAAUUCAAGGAAUCCAUCUGUACCAUUUUCAUGCAUGUUAGAACAACUUAUAGCUGCUGUUUAGCACAAAUCAAUUAAAGGGCAUUUAUUUAAUCACAUAUGGAGUUUGAAUUUGAAUUUUAUAUUCAAACCAACUUCAUUUAAUCUGUUGCUAGUUGCAUUAGCCCAAAACACAUUCAUUUUGCCAUGUCAUGAUCAUGCAUCAUAUUGUGCAUUGCAUUGAUUGUGUUCCCUUCUGUGUUGCCGGUAUUUGUCCCCUCUCGAUAGACGUGAUACCGAUGAUGUGAUCGUUGACACUGGUGAAGACUCAAUGUUAUCUUCAGAAGUGCCAGGCAAGCAAAACCCCCUUGUCCAUUCCGAUAAAAUCCCACUCUCUCGCUCCUGCUCUCUUUUACUGCAUUAGGACAACAUCGAUUCAUCUGUUACUUGCUGCGGUAGCUGAACCCCUUUAUCCUCUGCAAGACCUGUCAUUCCACAGUAAUUAGAUGAAACCCACUAGCAUGAGUAGGAGUUGUUUGAGCCCUGAUGUGCCUACUCAUUCAUGUUUGUUUGUCAUGCCUGCUACUGCUUAGAGUUGAGUCAGGUCUGAUUCAUCGGGGAUGAAUCAGAGGCGUGUGAACAUGUCCUACUGUGUGUGAGCUAAGUGUGUGAACAUGAUUUGGUAAAGGUAGCGGUGAGAGGCCAUGUAGGAGUACAUGGUGGGUUGUCUCAUUGAAGCCGUCCUCAGGAACUGAGUUCUGUGUUUGUGAUCCAUGAUUCAGCUACUACCAUACAUUGGGCCCUGAAAUAUGACCCCGCUCGACUUCUUAUUCACCCUUGUCCUCUGUCCAGGAGUUGCAAGUAGUUUCUGGUGUUUGUAGUAUGCUGGAGGCCGUGGACAGCGCUGACCGUAGGGGUGGGCUGUGAUGCGGUAGGCACGUGGCCGGGUAUACCGGGCACCCGUUUGGUGUCACGGAACCCUGUUCACAUCGUUUGGGACUGUGAGCGAAACUCCGCCCGGAUCUCCUCAUGGAUGGAACCCGAAUAGGUGAUAAACCUGGACUAGAGACUUGAGUGUUUAGGUAGGUCGUGGUCUACACCCACGUCGGCUUUCGCUUGAAGUCUGCCGAGCACAUGUCGUGUGCAGACGCUAAGUGGUGGAAACAUGUAGGAAGAAGUACACCCCUGCAGGGUUAACACCAUCUAUUCGAAUAGCCGUGUCCGCGGUAAAGGACUUCUGGGUUGCUUAUAUCAGUUCAUAGACAAGUGAAAGUGGAUACUCUAAAAUACGCAAGAUAAGCAUGAGUGCUAUGGAUGGCGUUCUCGUAGGGAGACGGGAGCGGAUCCAUAGUGGUGUAUUGAUAUGGUGAAUAUGUGGACUCGUGUGCGCCACCUCAAAAGUUACAUUGCAGUCGUAGUUCAGGAUAGCCACCGAGUCAAAGCUGGCUUGCUGCAGUUAAACCCCACCAUCCCUUUGUUGAUAAUGAUGCAUAUGUAGAUAGUUCUGAUGUAAGUCUUGCUGGGUACAUUUGUACUCACGUUUGCCUAUUUUAUGUUUUUGCAGAGAGACUUCAGUCUCACUAGUAUUUCCGCGUGGUCUUCGACGUUUAGCUUGUUACCUCAGCUACGAUCUUGUGCCUCGGCAGGAUUUGGUAGAUAGUCAGGCUUCUCAGCCUUUUUCAUUUAUAGAUGUAUGUACUCAGACAUGAUAGCUUCCGCUUGUGCUUGAUUUGUAUGCUCUGAAUGUUGGGUCAUGAGACCCAUGUUUGUAAUAUCUCGCUCCUCGGAGCCUAUUGAAUAGAUUACUUGAGUCAUAGAGUCAUGUUGUGAUGCCAUGUUGUAUUUGCACAUAUCGAGCAUAUUGUGUGUAUGUUAUUGAAAUGCUUGGUAUGUGUGGGAUCUGACCAUCUAGUUGUUUAUAUUUAGUAGCCUCUCUUACGGGGAAAUGUCUCCUAGUGUUUCCACCGAGCCAUGGUAGCUUGCUACUGCUCCGGAACACUUAGGCUGGCCGGCAUGUGUCCUUCUUCGUUCCUGUGUCUGUCCCUUCGGGGAAAUGUCACGCGGUGAAUACCGGAGUCCUGUUAGCCCGCUACAGCCCGGUUCACCGGAGUCCUGCUAGCCCAGUGCUACAGCCUGGAUUCACUCGCUGAUGACCGACACGUUCGAUGUUGGGUCAUGGAUGCCUGUCCCUGUAAGUCUGUGCCGCUUUGGGUUUACGACUAGCCAUGUCAGCCCGGGCUCCUUAUCAUAUGGAUGCUAGCGACACUGUCAUAUACGUGUGCCAAAAGGCGCAAACGGUCCCGGGCAAAGGUAAGGCGACACCCGUGGGAAUACCGUGCGUGAGGCCGCAAAGUGAUAUAAGGUGUUACAUGCUAGAUCGAUGUGGCAUUGAGUCGGGGUCCUGACAGCAUUGGUAUCAGAGCUUGACUGUCUGUAGGAUUACCAAGCCAAACUGGUCGAAGUUGAGUUUAGAAAUUCUUUAGUUAUAUAAGGGAAUUGAUUGUGGGAUGGAACGUAAGGCUCUUUUUACUCCUUAUACCUCAUGCCCUUCUGAUCUGAGUCAUCUUAUCUUUCCUGCGGAGAUUAAGAACUAGGCUAUCUCUUCUUUCUAUUAGGAUCACGUGUUACUAAUCCGUAGACCUAUAGAAUUGUUGGACUUAAGCCUUGUUUCAGUUCCUAUUAUUUCUGUAUGUUAAUUGUUGAUCUCGGAACCUUGAUAUUGUGCUUCUAAGUGGUUAUGCCACCAUUUUUGUGAAUGUCUCAAAUCUUUUCUGAGCAUUUACAGCCGUUAUGCUGUCCGAGUCAUCCCAGGUUUCUAAGUAGUCUGAUGCAAUUGCAAAUCCUUUCUUCCUGUUUCAAUGUUCCCAUGGGCCAGAUUAACCACACUAAUCAGUGAGUUGAGGUACUCCGUUACCUUGACAUAUAUGUUGGAGAUACUAUUAUGGCCCUAGGUGUUUAGGGAGUCACCUAGUAAUCUAGCAAUGUUUUGUGAUCCCCAGUGUGAGAUUCUGGCCUUUAUUCUCGGAAGCAUCCCGUGAUGCUACUUAGUAGUAGGUAUUCUACUCCUGGGUUCUGAACCCGAGAUUCACUCUACCUACUUCAUGUUGAUAGUAAUUGCUAGUGCCUUUAGGGUAUUAGUAACCUUUGCGAUAGUCCUUGAAGUCCGUGGUAUCUUCUUCUUUCAAAUACCAUGAACUACUUAUGGCAGAUGUUUAUUGGAUCAAAAAAAAUCACAAUUAGAGUACUCUUGAGGAGUUCUCCAUUCAUAAAUCGUGACUCUGCCAGUUCUACCUUUCUGCAUGGGUUAUCCGGAAGAAAUAUGUUGAACUUGGUUCGACAUACUAAUCUAUGCAUCCACAACUCAGAAAGUUAUAUGUUCCUUUGAGUUGUUCUCUUUAGUUGCAUUCUGACCCUCGUCUAUCAAUUGAUAGUCAAGAGUAUGCGUGCGUUCGUUCAUCGAUGCCUAUGACUCUUGUGGUCUGUCAAGCCAUUCUAUUCCGGAAUGACUAGGAGAAACAAACUCCAGUACCUCUUCCAUAUCUAGGAUUGGGUCAAAGUAGUUGUAUUCCGCAGAUCAAAUGCCAAUCCAGCUUUUGGUUCUGCUCUACCUUGGAGUAUUACAUGUUUUAUAUCGAGAUUGUUAUAGGAAUUGCACACCAUCCCAUGAACUCUUGGUACAGUGAUACUUCUUGCCAUCACUGUUCAUUCCUCGGCGCUCGUGUUGAUGCAACCGGAAUACCGACAAAUGAAUUGUGAUGUGUGAAAUCAAUACUGCUAGCAACUCUGUUGCUUGGUAGUUAAAGGAUAAUAAUUUCAUUCUUAGUAUGUUGGUUUUCGAAUCAUCCUUCUAAGACUGAUCGUGCUACCUAGUCCUUAUUUUGGUGCACCCUUCGAUUGAUGAGUUAGGAUCUUGUCAAGUCCUCACUCAUUUGAUCAUAUCGUCUUGCCCUCAAAAGCAAGAUUGUUCUCGAGCUUAGUAACAUAUCGGUGGUUCGUGACUUUCCAAAUAUCUUCUUGGAGGUGUUACCGGGUUGUCACCUGACCGCUAUGUUGAGCUCGUGAUCAAGUUGGUUUCUUGUGAACCACUUUCUCUCCAAGAAUCGGUGUUAGAUAUCCCUGAGCUAGUUGGUUAAGCUAGACAACAACUUGGAGAGUUGGAAGAUAAAAGCUUGCCUGACUUAACUCGUUCCAAAGGGAUAUUGUUGUGUAGUGUGUGUUGAAGAAAGAUGAUAUCUUCAUCGAUUGGUCCCUGUGAUCAGUUGCUGGACCUAUUGUCUUAUCAAUCCUUUGAUUUGAGUGUGGGCUAUCGUCAAAUCAAAUCAGUACCAACGAUGCUCGUAAUGUUGUCUUAUUCGUGGUUGAUCCCUCGAGCAUACACCACUACAUCUUUGGUCUGACCAAUGCUAUCACCGUGUUCACUUAACUAUGGAAUUCCUUUUAAAAGGAAACCUAGAUGAAUUGUUGUUGAGCCCAUUGACAACAUCCUUAUCUCCUCCAUGAUUUUGUUGAACAUUAAGCUAGUGUUGGAAACUUUUGAAAGCAUUUGUUCAUGCUAGUUCAUGGAGCAUAUGUUCGGAUGUAAGAAGUGACUUCCUCUAGUUCAUAUGCAUUUGAUGCAAGUUGCCGCCGUGGACUCGAGAAAGUCAAUGUUGCUCCCUCUGGAAUCAUCGCAAGUCAGUCAUGCACACGUGCGAAGUAUUCUGUGGUCUGGAGACUUGCAACCUUCAUUCCAUAUGUGUAUCCUAGCACACCAAGCCACUGACUGAUUUGUUCAAGGAGAAGGAGUAUCUUCAUAAGAGCUAAUCCGGACUUAUGAAAGAACUUCGAUAUCCUCGCUGAUGGUUCCCAACCAGAACUCGGUAGUGUUUUAUUGUAAGACUACCAUGUGGGCAUGCUUGUCUGGGACAACGUGUUCACAUGUUUGUAGCAGAACCAGCUCAUGUUUUGGAGCUUACUAUCGUAGUUCAUUCCCGAGAAUCCCGCAACGUCAUCUCGUCGAUUUGUGUUGCAAACUUCCGUUUUUCUUCCUAGACUCGAUGAGUCUGGAAUAUCCUGACCCCAACCAGAUCUGAAUCUCAGGCAGAUAUGAUGGUUGGAAUAUUUCCCAAGAAUUAUAAUAUUGGUCGCGCGAUAACCGGUAAAGUGGAUGUCGUGGCCAACACACCCAGCCGGAAGACCUGUUAUUAUAAUAUCUUGAUUGAUGAAGUUGGCCACCUCCCCAUAGGGAUUUCGUAGGAUUUACUCCCUAGUUGCCCUAUGGAUUUUGAGAUCCCGAAGUCCGACCUUUUUACUUGAUGUUCUAGAUAUCAAACCAUAUCUAUGAAUGGGUUACACUAGCACAUCAAGGAGAACAUUAGAAGCGGAGUGCUAAAUGUCUCUCGGUCGAUCAUCCAGAUUUUAUUUCCUUGGCCUCGCUAAGGUGAAAUCUGAGAAAGUGUUGUCCUCCUUUGCAUCUGCAUCAUCCAUCGCUAUUCAUCAUGGUAGUAUGUUGUGUUGUCAGCACCCUUGACGCGGUUGUUGGUAAAACCUUGAUGAAUAUGAAAAUGCUCAAGUUCUUGAGAGCACGCACAAGCGCUACGUGUUAUCAUCGGCACUAGCUGGGAUUCCUCUCAGUUUCCCCGGCAAUGCUAUGACCCUUUUCAACCAGUGAAUUAACUCUCUAGUGUUGGGUUCUUCCCCAGUUACCAGAAUCAUUCCCAGCAUUUGCAUUUUGUUCCCAGCUUGCACCGCCAAUGUGCCAUUCUACCAUGGGUCUCUUCCAUUUCCGGUGAUAAGCAAAUUCAUCCAUUGCGUUGUCUUCAACAAGGUAAUCCACAUCAUCCAAGUCCGAGUAUGCCAUUCUACCGACCCCUCUCCAAACGAUCGGUCGAGAAUUGCCUUAGGUUGGUUUAAAGAGUCUCAAUGAUCUCUGAAUCAAAGGUAAUUCUUUUUGCCACUUAAGGGGAUAUUUCUACGAGUCACCGUCCCUAGGAUGUUUCGUCGUGGUAUCAUGGCAACUCAACUCCUCGCUACGUUGACAAUCGUUUACCACCUUCUUAGGUGUGGGAUUGUUGUCUACCUAGUGAACCUUCGUCAUCCGUUUCUUUCCACCCCUCUUGAUGUGUAUCUCGUGUCUCAACCCGAGAGAUGGUCCUAUGUCUCAUUCCGUGAGUUGUUCGAUCUUCGAGGAGAUCGACCCUUCUAGAGUCUUCUUCCCUCCAUGUCAUGUUGACAGGAUUUCUCAGAGCAAGACUUCAAGACAAUGAUGGUGGACGAAUCAAAGUCCAUUUGAAGUGCAACUGGAUCGUGAAGAUUAUACUAGUCUGCGUUACCCCUUCACCUUACCCUAUGCUUGAAUCUCGAGACGAGAUUCUUGUUUAGUGGGGGUGAGUUGUCACAUCCCUAGCUUCAGGCAUUGCUCUAGGUUAGCUUCAUGUGUGCAUCAUGUCUAUAUUUUUGAAACUUGAAUUGAGGAAUAUUGGAAGCCUCAAAACCCUAAAUAAAAGAGGGGCAAAAACCCUAGAAAUCUCAUUCAUUGCUCCAAAAGGCUCUUCUUAAAUGUUUGAUAAUUUUUGGUAAGGGUUCUGGUCCCAACCAAAAUAUUGAACAUUUUUAAGGAUUUAUUUUUGGGACUUUGAAUUUAAAUCAUUAGCUAUUUGAAUUUGAAUUAUAUUCAUAUAAUUAGAAUAUAAUUUCAAAUACCCCUGAAAUAUUUUAUGAGCUUUUGGAAAAGUCCAUCUAGCCAAAUAAAAUUAUUCAGAGGAGUUUUUGGCAUUGUUUGAAUUUGUUUAAAAUUCAAAACAGUGGCAAANNNNNNNNNNNNNNNNNNNNNNNNNNNNNNNNNNNNNNNNNNNNNNNNNNNNNNNNNNNNNNNNNNNNNNNNNNNNNNNNNNNNNNNNNNNNNNNNNNNNNNNNNNNNNNNNNNNNNNNNNNNNNNNNNNNNNNNNNNNNNNNNNNNNNNNNNNNNNNNNNNNNNNNNNNNNNNNNNNNNNNNNNNNNNNNNNNNNNNNNNNNNNNNNNNNNNNNNNNNNNNNNNNNNNNNNNNNNNNNNNNNNNNNNNNNNNNNNNNNNNNNNNNNNNNNNNNNNNNNNNNNNNNNNNCUAGCGUGGCAGCUAGCUUGUUUGCAAGCCACAGCACUAACCCCGCACCCACCCGAGCUCCGACCGCCGCCUCGGGCUCCACUCCGGCGGACUCCGUCCACCCCCGCACCUCCCGUUGGCCCCCCUAGGUGCGCACGGGCACGGGCUACCUUCUGGUGCCCUUCGCGCGUCCAGCCGUCGCCCGUAGCGCAACCCCGGUGAACUUCCGCCGCGUUCCGGGUCGCCGCCGGCCGAACUCCGGUGGCCAGUGACGUGGCUGGCUUAAUUAGCCACUAAUCACCGCUUUGUGACACUGACAGCAGGGCCCACCUGCUAAUUAAUCAUAGAUUAGUUUCUGUUUAGUUUUUAACUAAUCCAGUGGCCCCACCCGUCAGCAUUGACUCUGCUGACGUGGCCUUUGACCCGGCCCCACCUGCCAUUGACACUAAACAGCCCUGGGUCACUGACCAGUGGACCCCACUGGUCAGGUUUGACCUGGAGGCGCCCUGUUGACCUGCUGACGUCAAGGUGAUGACAUGCUGACGCCAUAAUUCAUUUUCUGGAAUUAUUUUAAUUCUAAAUAAUCAGAAAAAUCCAGAAAAUUGUAUAAACUUCUAAAAUUCAUAGAAAAUUAACCGUAACUCCAAAUUAAAUAAUUUAUAUAUGAAAAAUUAUCAGAAAAAUUCAAGGAAUCCAUCUGUACCAUUUUCAUGCAUGUUAGAACAACUUAUAGCUGCUGUUUAGCACAAAUCAAUUAAAGGGCAUUUAUUUAAUCACAUAUGGAGUUUGAAUUUGAAUUUUAUAUUCAAACCAACUUCAUUUAAUCUGUUGCUAGUUGCAUUAGCCCAAAACACAUUCAUUUUGCCAUGUCAUGAUCAUGCAUCAUAUUGUGCAUUGCAUUGAUUGUGUUCCCUUCUGUGUUGCCGGUAUUUGUCCCCUCUCGAUAGACGUGAUACCGAUGAUGUGAUCGUUGACACUGGUGAAGACUCAAUGUUAUCUUCAGAAGUGCCAGGCAAGCAAAACCCCCUUGUCCAUUCCGAUAAAAUCCCACUCUCUCGCUCCUGCUCUCUUUUACUGCAUUAGGACAACAUCGAUUCAUCUGUUACUUGCUGCGGUAGCUGAACCCCUUUAUCCUCUGCAUGACAUGUCAUUCCACAGUAAUUAGAUGAAACCCACUAGCAUGAGUAGGAGUUGUUUGAGCCCUGAUGUGCCUACUCAUUCAUGUUUGUUUGUCAUGCCUGCUACUGCUUAGAGUUGAGUCAGGUCUGAUUCAUUGGGGAUGAAUCAGAGGCAUGUGAACAUGUCCUACUGUGUGUGAGCUAAGUGUGUGAACACGAUUUGGUAAAGGUAGCGGUGAGAGGCCAUGUAGGAGUACAUGGUGGGUUGUCUCAUUGAAGCCGUCCUCAGGAACUGAGUUCUGUGUUUGUGAUCCAUGAUUCAGCUACUACCAUACAUUGGGCCCUGAAAUAUGACCCCGCUCGACUUCUUAUUCACCCUUGUCCUCUGUCCAGGAGUUGCAAGUAGUUUCUGGUGUUUGUAGUAUGCUGGAGGCCAUGGACAGCGCUGACCGUAGGGGUGGGCUGUGAUGCGGUAGGCACGUGGCCGGGUAUACCGGGCGCCCGUUUGGUGUCACGGAACCAUGUUCACAUCGUUUGGGGCUGUGAGCGAAACUCCGGCCGGAUCUCCUCAUGGAUGGAACCCGAAUAGGCGAUAAACCUGGACUAGAGACUUGAGUGUUUAGGUAGGUCGUGGUCUACACCCACGUCGGCUUUCGCUUGAAGUCUGCCGAGCACAUGUCGUGUGCAGACGCUAAGUGGUGGAAACAUGUAUGAAGAAGUACACCCCUGCAGGGUUAACACCAUCUAUUCGAAUAGCCGUGUCCGCGGUAAAGGACUUCUGGGUUGCUUAUAUCAGUUCAUAGACAAGUGAAAGUGGAUACUCUAAAAUACGCAAGAUAAGCGUGAGUGCUAUGGAUGGCGUUCUCGUAGGGAGACGGGAGAGGAUCCAUAGUGGUGUAUUGAUAUGGUGAAUAUGUGGACUCGUGUGCGCCACCUCAAAAGUUACAUUGCAGUCGUAGUUCAGGAUAGCCACCGAGUCAAAGCUGGCUUGCUGCAGUUAAACCCCACCAUCCCUUUGUUGAUAAUGAUGCAUAUGUAGAUAGUUCUGAUGUAAGUCUUGCUGGGUACAUUUGUACUCACGUUUGCCUAUUUUAUGUUUUUGCAGAGAGACUUCAGUCUCACUAGUAUUUCCGCGUGGUCUUCGACGUUUAGCUUGUUACCUCAGCUACGAUCUUGUGCCUCGGCAGGAUUUGGUAGAUAGUCAGGCUUCUCAGCCUUUUUCAUUUAUAGAUGUCUGUACUCAGACAUGAUAGCUUCCGCUUGUGCUUGAUUUGUAUGCUCUGAAUGUUGGGUCAUGAGACCCAUGUUUGUAAUAUCUCGCUCCUCGGAGCCUAUUGAAUAGAUUACUUGAGUCGUAGAGUCAUGUUGUGAUGCCAUGUUGUAUUUGCACAUAUCGAGCAUAUUGUGUGUAUGUUAUUGAAAUGCUUGGUAUGUGUGGGAUCUGACCAUCUAGUUGUUUAUCUUUAGUAGCCUCUCUUACGGGGAAAUGUCUCCUAGUGUUUCCACCGAGCCAUGGUAGCUUGCUACUGCUCCGGAACACUUAGGCUGGCCGGCAUGUGUCCUUCUUCGUUCCUGUGUCUGUCCCUUCGGGGAAAUGUCACGCGGUGAAUACCGGAGUCCUGUUAGCCCGCUACAGCCCGGUUCACCGGAGUCCUGCUAGCCCAGUGCUACAGCCUGGAUUCACUCGCUGAUGACCGACACGUUCGAUGCUGGGUCAUGGAUGCCUGUCCCUGUAAGUCUGUGCCGCUUUGGGUUUACGACUAGCCAUGUUAGCCCGGGCUCCUUAUCAUAUGGAUGCUAGCGACACUGUCAUAUACGUGUGCCAAAAGGCGCAAACGGUCCCGGGCAAAGGUAAGGCGACACCCGUGGGAAUACCGUGCGUGAGGCCGCAAAGUGAUAUGAGGCGUUACAUGCUAGAUCGAUGUGGCAUUGAGUCGGGGUCCUGACAGGAUGUUUACAAUGCUUGUUGGUUUGUAUGGUGCAGGACAGAAACUUUGUCUGUAGUGCACGAUUUUACAUUUUUAACUGGAAUGUCAAUUGGUUCUGAUUCCUUUUCCACUGUCUUGCUAUACAACUUGUUUAUUUUUCCUAAUUUUGGUAGAAUUUUUGGGGUACCAUAAGUAUGGUGGAUGUUCAGAUUGCUACAGACUGUUCGGUUUUUUGACAGAUUCUGUUUUUUGAUGCAUAGUUUGCUUGUUUUGAUGAAUCUAUCAAUUUAUAUCAGUGGAUUAAGCCAUGGAAAAGUUAUAUUGCAGUAGACACAAUGAAAAAACAAAAUAUGAAUUGGUUUGCAACAGUACUUAGAGUGGUGAUUUGCUUUAUUAUACUAACGGAUCUUACCGAGUUUUCUGUUGAAGUUUUGUGUGGAUGUAGUGUCUAAUCGAGGAUGUUUCGAUGUGAGAAGAAGGAAGAGAGGCAAGAGCUCAAGCUUGGGGAUGCCCGAGGCACCCCAAGUAAAUAUUCAAGGAGACUCAAGCGUCUAAGCUUGGGGAUGCUCGGGAGGCAUCCCCUGUUUCUUCAACAAGUAUCGGUAUGUUUUCGGAUUCGUUUCGUUCAUGCAUUAUGUGCAAAUCUUGGAGCGUCUUUUGCAUUUAGUUUUCAUUUUCUUUUAUGCACCAUGCUGGUAUGAGAUAAUUCUUGGUUUAUUUAUAGAAUGCUCAUUGCACUUCACUUAUAUCUUUUGAGUAUGGCUUUAUAGAAUGCUUCACGUCCUUCACUUAUAUCAUUUGAAGUUUGGGUUGCCUGUUUCUCUUCACAUAGAAAACCGCCAUUUGUAGAAUGCUCUUUUGCUUCACUUAUAUUUGUUAGAGCGUGGGCAUAUCUUUUGUAGAAAGAAUUAAACUAUCUUGCUUCACUUAUAUCUAUUUAGAGAGAUGAUAGGAACCGGUCAUUCACAUGAUUAGUCAUAAAAUCCUACAUAAACUUGUAGAUCGCUGAAUAUGAUAUGUUUGAUUCCUUGCAAUAGUUUUGCGAUAUAAAGGUGGUGAUAUUAGAGUCAUGCUAGUGGGUGGUUGUGGAUUGUAGAGACACUUGUGUUGAGGUUUAUGAUUCCCGUAGCAUGCACGUAUGGUGAACCGCUUUGUGAUGAAGUUGGAGCACAAUUUUAUUUAUUGAUUGUCUUCCUUAUGAGUGGUGGUCGGGGACGAGCGAUGAUUUUUUCCUACCAAUCUAUCCACCUAGGAGCAUGCACGUAGUACUUUGUUUUCAAUGGCUUGUAGAUUUUUGUAAUAAGUAUAUGAGUUCUUUAUGACUAAUGUUGAGUCCAUGGAUUAUAUGCACUCUCACCCUUCCAUCAUUGCUAGCCUCUUCGGUACCGUGCAUUUCCCUUUCUCACCUCGAGAGUUGGUGCAAACUUCGCCGGUGCAUCCAAACCCCGUGAUACGAUAUGCUCUAUCACACAUAAGCCUCAUUAUAUCUUCCUCAAAACAGCCACCAUACCUACCUAUCAUGGCAUUUCCAUAGCAAUUCCGAGAUAUACUGCCAUGCAACUUCCAUCAUCAUCAUAUUCAUGACUUGAGCAUUCAUUGUCAUAUUGCUUUGCAUGAUCGUAAGAUAGCUAGCAUGAUGUUUUCAUGGCUUGUCCGUUUUUUGAUGUCAUUGCUACGCUAGAUCAUUGCACAUCCCAGUACACCGCCGGAGGCAUUCAUAUAGAGUCAUAUCUUUGUUCUAGAUAUUGAGUUGUAAGUAAAUAAAAGUGUGAUGAUCAUCAUUAUUAGAGCAUUUCCCCAGUGAGGAAAGGAUGAUGGAGACUAUGAUUCCCCCACAAGUCGGGAUGAGACUCCGGACUUUAUGAAAAAUAAAAGAGGCCAAAGAAGCCCAAAUAUAAAAAAAGGCCAAAGAAGCCCACCAAAAAGAAAGAAAAAAAAUAAAAAAAUGAAAAAUAGAAAAAUGAGAGAAAAAGAGAGAAGGGGCAAUGUUACUAUCCUUUUACCACACUUGUGCUUCAGAGUAGCACCAUGUUCUUCGUAGAGAGAGCCUCCUAUGGUUUCACUUUCUUAUACUAGUGGGAAUUUUCAUUAUAGAACUUGGCUUGUAUAUUCCGAUGAUGGGCUUCCUCAAAUGCCCGAGGUCUUCAUGAGCAAGCAAGUUGGAUGCACACCCACUUAGUUUCAGUGUGAUCUUUCAUACACUUAUAGCUCUAGUGCAUCUGUUGCAUGGCAAUCCCUACUCACUCACAUUGAUAUCUAUUGAUGGGCAUCUCCAUAGCCCGUUGAUAUGCCUAGUUGAUGUGAGACUUUCUCCCUUUUUGUCUUCUCCACAUAACCUCCACCAUCAUAUUCUAUUCCACCUAUAGUGUUAUAUCCAUGGCUCACGAUCAUGUAUUGCGUGAAAGUUGAAAAAGUUUGAGAUUAUUAAAGUAUGAAACAAUUUCUUGGCUUGUCAUUGGGGUUGUGCAUGAUUAAAUACUUUGUGUGAUGAAGAUAGAGCAACAGCCAGACUAUAUGAUUUUGUAGGGAUAACUCUCUUUGGCCAUGUUGUUUUGAAAAGACAUGAUUGCUUUAUUGGUACGCUCGAAGUAUUAUUGUUUUUAUGUCAAAUGAUAGACUAUUGCUUUGAAUCACUCGUGUCUUAAUAUUCAUGCCAUGAUUAGACAUAUGAUCAAGAUUGUGCUAGGUAGCAUUCCACAUCAAAAAUUAUCUUUUUUAUCAUUUACCUACUCAAGGACAAGUAGGAAUUAAGCUUGGGGAUGCUGAUACGUCUCCGUCGUAUCUAUAAUUUUUGAUUGUUCCAUGCCAAUAGUAUUUAACUUUCAUAUACUUUUGGCAACUUUUUAUAUUAUUUUUGGGACUAACAUAUUGAUCCAGUGCCCAGUGCCAGUUCCUGUCUGUUGCAUGUUUUUUGUUUCGCAGAAACCCAAUAUCAAACAGAGUCCAAUCGGGAUAAAAUGGACGGAGAUUUUUUUUAAAUAUUUAUGAUUUUUGGGAAGUGAAAUCAAUGCGAAACGGUGUCCAGGGUGGUCACGAGGUAGGGGGUGCCCUACCCCCCCCCCCCCCAGGCGCGCCCCUGACCCUCGUGGUCCACCCGUAAGGCGGUUGACGCUCUUCUUUUGGCGCAAGAAAGGUAAUUUUAUGAGAAAGAUCUGGGCGAAAGAUUCACCCCAAUCGGAGUUACGGAUCUCCAGAUAUAAAGGAAACGGUGAAGGGGUAGACGCAGAGAACGCAGAAACAGAGAGAUAGAUCCAAUCUCGGAGGGGCUCUCGCCCCUCCCAUGCCAUGGGAGCCAAGGACCAGAGGGGAAACCCUUCUCCCAUCUAGGGAGGAGGUCAAGGAAGAAGAAGAAGAAUGGGGGGGCCUCUCCCCCUUGCUUCUGGUGGCGCCGGAGCGCUGCCGGGGGCCAUCAUCAUCAUCGCGAUCUUCACAAACACUGCCGUCAUCUUCACCAACAUCUCCAUCACCUUCCCCCUUCUAUAUCUAGUGGUCCACUCUCCCGCAUCCCGCUGUACCCUCUACUUGAACGUGGUGCUUUAUGCUUCAUAUUAUUAUCCAAUGAUAUGUUGCCAUCCUAUGAUGUCUGAGUAGAUUUUUGUUGUCCUAUCGGUGAUUGAUGAAUUGCUAUGAUUGGUUUGAGUUGCAUAUUUUAUUAUUGGUGCUGUCCUAUGGUGCUCUCCGUGUCGCGCAAGCGUGAGGGAUUCCCGCUGUAGGGUUUGCAAUAUGUGUAUGAUUUGCUUAUGGUGGGUGGCGUGAGUGACAGAAGCACAGACCCGAGUAAGUAGGUUGUUUGCGUAUGUGAUAAAAGGGGACUUGAUGCUUUAAUGCUAUGGUUGGGUUAUACCUUAAUGAAUCUUUAGUAGUUGCGGAUGCUUGCUAGAGUUCCAAUCAUAAGUGCAUAUGAUCCAAGUAGAGAAAGUAUGUUAGCUUAUGCCUCUCCCUCAAAUAGAAUUGCAACAGUGAUUACCGGUCUAGUAACAUAGUCAAUUGCUUAGGGACAAUUUCACAACUCCUACCACCACUUUACCACACUCGCUAUAUUUACUUUCUUGCUUCUAAACAGCCCCUAGUUUAUGUUUACGUGCUCUUUAUUAUCUUGCAAACCUAUCCUAUCACACCUACAAAGUACUUCUAGUUUCAUACUUGUUCUAGGUAAAGCGAACGUCAAGCGUGCGUAGAGUUGUAUCGGUGGUCGAUAGAACUUGAGGGAAUAUUUAUUCUACCUUUAGCUCCUCGUUGGGUUCGACACCCUUACUUAUCAAAAAUUGUUGCGAUCCCUUAUAUUUGUGGGUUAUCAUGGUCACACGUCUGUUGACUGAAGACUAAAUUGGGGUCACAUGAUUUUAUUUUAUUUUGGUACUGUCCGAUCUACGUCGGAUGGCUUGAUGGCCGUCUUGUGCCUCCCAGCUGACACUGUUCAGAAUCUUCCCCGAAGAGCCAGCGACCAACGGUAGAGCAGCCUGCCUCCGCCGUCUCUGGCCCCGGCCAAAAGCCCGCUCCCCGCCCCACCGCACUGUCGUGGUUGCACCGCCCCCGGGCCAAUCCACAAAGACUCCCCGUCAUCCAGAUCUGGCGGCGGCAGUACCUUCAACCCACGCAACUCUAAAAUAUAUCCAUCUAAGCGUUGCUUCCGCAACGAACCUACGGCCCCGCACCCUUACGUUAGACACUAGCCAACCGGCAGCCUAGGAGCUCCGCCGCCUCGAGGGGUGCUGCUUCCCAUUGGGAAUCGAUUGGCCCAGAAUAAAAAUUUAGACAACUGACGCCUAAAUAAAGUGAUUUGAGAUGAGGGUGCGACCUAUCUGGCGGCAUGGUGAAGUAGGCAGGUCCAGCUAUCGAGUCGGUGAGGCCGGCGCGGUUGCGAUGGCGACCGGCGGCAGGGAAAGAGCGAUGUCGCGACAGUCGACGGCUACGUGGAAGAAGUGCUAGGACUCUGCACAGAUCCGAAGUUGGAGCCGCUACGGCGCCGUGAACAAUGGCGGGGGUGAGUCGGCUCCGGUACGGUUCACGCGGUCGUCGUCGAGGCAGCACCAUCAGCACGGAGUAAGAGGCACACGGCCCAGUGCACGACGGCAAUUGGACAGCGUCUCCGGCAAUAGGGAGGAGGGCGGAUGUGAAAUUGGUGUGGUGGGGGCGCCAUGGAGGUGGGGCUGAGGUUUCGCGGCUCGGGAGAAGGGAGCUUCCCGGGGAGAAGGUGAUUUGGCAUCCAUGAGGUAUGNNNNNNNNNNNNNNNNNNNNNNNNNNNNNNNNNNNNNNNNNNNNNNNNNNNNNNNNNNNNNNNNNNNNNNNNNNNNNNNNNNNNNNNNNNNNNNNNNNNNNNNNNNNNNNNNNNNNNNNNNNNNNNNNNNNNNNNNNNNNNNNNNNNNNNNNNNNNNNNNNNNNNNNNNNNNNNNNNNNNNNNNNNNNNNNNNNNNNNNNNNNNNNNNNNNNNNNNNNNNAGGGGGAGUUAAAGUCCUACCCUUUCCUAUAGGCUUCUCGGCUUUGGUAUGUGUACUGAGGGUCGGGGAUAGUAGAGUAAUUUUGCUUCUCCCCAAAUAGUGGGCGGGAGCGAUUUCGGGCGAGGAGGGCGUGUUUUGAACUAUAGUGAUCGCGAGCUAUUUCGGGCGAGGAGAGCGUUUCUGAAAUAGUGGGCACGAGCUAUUUCGGGCGAGGAGAGCGUGUUUUGCCGACCAUGGUUUAUGUAUUCGGCACAUGUCAUUUCGGCCGAGGAUAAGGCGUGCUUGGAUGAAGUUACGAACCUACCCUCGAUGUACAACGGGCCAAUUGAUGCGUGUCCCACAUAGGACGGUAAUUUCGCGUCUCCCAUUUAUUUGCUCAGGCGAAUUCCACCGAGCAGAGAGGAUGUUUAACGGUUCGUUCAAAUUUUGGGAGAACGAACAUCCACGUCUACCUUACCAAGUCGAUUUGAAUCAAAUUUUGAAAUAUUAGCUUGCCACUUCUUUUUUAGAUGGAGAGAUGAUGCUCGGGAGUAGUGUGUUUUUACAUGCUCGUUGCUAGCGAUUUACUAUAUGACAAAUAGUUGACCCACUCAAAAACGCGAAUCAAACCCAAAAUGAAAUAUCUCGAUUCAAUGAACUAGCUCGUUCAGUAGGUCAAAAUAGUGAACUAAAUCCAAAAUUGAACACUUCAGUCGAGUAGCAUGUUGUACAAUAUUAUAGUACUCCGUGAACAUGUUGAAAGUCAAAUUAAUGAACUUGUUUGAUAUACGCAUAUAUCCGUUCAUGUGUGGAUUGCAGACAACAUGUUCUCCAAUUUAAAUAUUUGAAUGCAAGUUUAUAUCGAAACAUGGUUUAUAUCAGUCUAUGAUGCAUAAAACGCGACCUCCCCCUCUCCCGAACUCCUAUUCUCUCUCUCUCUCUCUCUCUCACUCUCUCACUCACUCUCUCGCCGACAAUCUUCAAUUCUGUCGCACGCAUCCGACACAAAAACCUUGUUGGUCCCUCUCCCUUUCUAUCCAUCUCUCUCUCUCUUUGUGUGUGUGGGGGGGGGGUCUUUCUAGUUCGCAUUCAUAUAUACACCAUCUAUAGGUCUCUCUCGCACACUAUGUAUGAUACUCUAGCUAGUCCAAGCUAGAUAUCUUGGGUACACUCAUCGUACGCACACAAAUUCCUUGGCUCUUUGCCCGUAACUCUCUCACGCACCACUAUGUCGUCUCAGAGCUCUUCCCCCCUCUCUCAAACUCUCCAUCCACCUGGGUCACACAUACACAUGCAUAUCUCACUCGCACUCGAUAGGCCCAUCUAAAACUCUAUCUCUCUCCCUCGUUCUCUCUCCAUCUCACACGCACACACACACACAAUCUCAUGCCCAGCUAGCCAAGUAUGAUGGUAUCUCACUCAAUUGUAGGCACACGCAGUCCCCCCUAUAUGUAUAUGACUAGCUAAUCUUAGUCUCCAUCACAAACAUGUGCAUGGUCUAUCUCGAUUUCUCUCGGGGCAUCUUUCUAUCGCGCACGCACUCCCUCGAUCUCCCACCCAUAUAGUCCCGUCAUGAUCUCGAGGGGAUCUCUCUAUCACAAACACACCCUCUCUCCCUCCCCAUGCGUCCAUGCCAUCCAUGUGUCCCUCUCGACCUUUUUUCCUUGUUGGCCAGACCUCUAUUGGACAUGUGCUACAGGGGUAUCUCUCUCCAUUGUAAACAAUCACACACUAGCUAUCUUCAUGUAUGUCCUCGCCUCGCUUUUCCAUCUCAGAGAUGCAUGCAUGAUAUGUUCGCAUAAGAAACGAAAAAACACACACUCUCUCUAAUUUAUCGCUUGUUGUCACUUUCUCUUUCACACACAUACUCUUUUUGCACACUUACUCAUUCUCCUUCACACGCACUUGAUCUAUCUCGACUGAGGCACUCUCCUCCGUCCAUAGCAUAUAGAUUUAUUGAAAAGUCAAACAUCACAAAGUUUGACCAUGUACGUGGAGAAAAACAAUUACAUCUAGUACGGCAAACAUAUACCAUUAGAUUCACCAUGAGAUGUAGUUUUGUAUGAUGUAUCUUUGGUAUUGUAGAUAUAAAUAACAUUUGCGUAAACCUGAUCAAAGUUUCCAAAGUUUGACUUCUAAAAAAUUUACAUGCACUGCAUUAUCGAGCGGAUGGAAUAUCUCUUUCCCUCUCUAAGCUAUCUGACACGCCACUCAGCCUUAUCGGGGCUCCUCGAUCUCUCUCAAACUUUAUUGGUCAGUUUGGUUCGUGACCUGACCCUCACGCCUUGAUGGCCGGUGCUGCCUGGUGUGGACAUGAGAUAUAAAAUAUUUCUGCCUGGCCAGGCUUGUGUGGUGCUGAAGUGUUUGUUUCAUGCCUGGGUCAGGCAAAGCAUUAACGUCACAUCAAUCAAUCCAUGCAUCAAUUAUUUAAUGCUAAUAUCCAUCCAUGUUGCUGUUAGCCUCGUGGCCGCACGACCAGGCACGGCAAGGUGUUCGAAAUCGGUCGCUUGGGCUAGGCUACUUGCAGUGUCUGGAGUUCAGCCAGGCUAAUUAAAGUGCAAGGGAACCCAGCCCAGGCGGGCUUUCUUUUUCACAGGGUAGCAACCAAACAAGUGUGCAUGAAAUCCAGCCACAACCCCAGGCCACGCAAAAGAUGCUCACGACGCAAGCCAAACUGGACUUAUAUCUCCCUGGUUCACACAUAUACAUGUCUCGCUCGCGCUAUACAUAUAGACCCAUCCAACACUCUCCGCCCUUGUUCUCUCUCCAUGUGACACGCACCCCCCUAAGUACCAUAACCCAUCACUCCAUCAUAGGCUCUGUUUGGAUCCAUGGGUUAGAGUUAGUUUGGGUUAGUUUGGAGUCAACUAACCCAAAAAGAUCCAAACAGGAGGGUUAGUUUAGGUUAGAUGCAUCUAACCCAUCCAAAAAAACUAACCCAUCCAAGAGGUGCUUAUUUGGGUUAGUUCUUCUCGGGACCACUAAUAAACACUUUUUUCUCUCGCUCUCCCUGCAGUAGAUCCCUCCCCACUUCCUCGAAGCUUCUCGUCCUCUCCCUCCCUCCCUCUCGCACCGCCCGUGAAGGUGCCUCGGCAUAUCCGUGCUCCAUCUAACCCUGCCAUCCAAACACCUCUUUACUUAGAGUUAGUUCAGGGUUAGUUUAGUGUAUGAAUCUAACUCUAACCUCUAACUGAGUUAGAGUAUCCAAACAGGGCCAUAGGCGCAAGCACCCCCCCCCCCUCCUAAGUAUGAUUAUCUCUUACUAGCCAUCAGGAACACACGUAUUGUCUCCUUCCAUCCAUACAUCUAUAUCGAUAUCUCUCGGGGCAUCUUCUAUCGCGCACACACCUUGUCACUCGAUCUCCCACCCAUGUAGUCCCAUCACGAUCUCCAGGGGAUCUCUCUAUGACAAACAUACACUCUCUCCUCCCCAUGUCUGCAUUUUCUCCGUACGUCUCUCUCGACCUCUCUCCCUUGUUUGUCAGACCCCUCUUGGCCACGUGCUAGGGGUCUUCCUCUCUCGGUUCCAAUCAACCACACACUAUCUCCUCACCUUGCCUCCGUUGUCGAAGAUGCAUGUGUGAUAUGUUUGCAUAAGACACGCACUCUUUUUCUCUACUUUUAUCGUGUGUUGUCCAUGUCUCUUUCACACACACACACACACACACACACACUUUUUCACUCUCUCUCUCUCUCUCUGUGUUUAGGGACUCUGUCACGUCCAUAAGCAUAUGGAUGUUUUGAAAAGUCAAACCUCAGAAAAGUUUGACCAGGUAUAUGUGGAGAAAAACAUUUACAUCUGGAACGAUCAUUAGAUUCAUCACAACAUAUACUUACUUCAUACUAUCAUUUAUCUUUGGUAUUGUAGAUAUAAGUAAUUUCUUGAAUAAACUUGGUCAAAGUUUCAAAAGUUUGACUUAAAAAAAUGUUGUAACUACAUUAUCGAACGGAGGGAGUAGCUCCUUCUCUCUCUCUCUCUGCUAUCUCUCAUGGGCCUCCCUCUCACUCGAACUCUCUAUACCGACGGAUUAUACGCUCACUGUGUCAGCGUAUAGCUCCAUAUAUUGUUUAGUUGACCGGUCAACCAAUCCACAUGCUGCGUUGUUAGCUCGUGUUAUGUAUCUUGGUGUGUUGGCCCAUGUUGCAGUGGGUGAAAAUAAGUAUACUAGAGGCCCAUCUGACACGCGGUGAAGUAAACAAAGUUGAAACCAUAGCACCCCGCACGCUAGUAAAUUGAGGGCGCAUUGAGGACAAACUUCUUGCGUGUGAAGGACGCACUCGCGCACAAUUCACCACUACGCGGCGGCAUGCACAGAAGGACGCACUCACGCACACCCAACACACAACACACACCAGCACACGUGUACACCGGCGUCGCUGCCGGUUGAGAUGGACGGCGAGGCAGCCAACAAGCGAAGGCGGCUCGAGCCAAAACCGCAUCCGGCGAGCCUGGACUUCAUCAACAGCCUCCCCGAUGACAUGUUGCUCGUCAUCAUCGGCCUCCUCCCCACCAAAUCUGCCGUGCGGACCGCCCUGCUCUCCCGACGGUGGCGCCCCCUCUGGCGUUGCGUCCCCCUCAACCUCACCGUCGACAGAUGCCUCUGCGACGGGGAUUGCAAACGCAUGGCCACAGUCUCCAAGAUCCUUUCAUCGCACCCUGGGCCAGCCAGACGCCUUGACAUCCGCAUGUUCAGUACCAACUGCAAGGUCCAACCCAAGUUCAACGAGUGGUUCUUAUCCCUCGCCCUAGAUCAGCUCGAGGAGCUCAGCUUUGAAGUUGGACGAUGUCGCUCUAUGCCGUUGUCCGCGCUCCGCCUCACGCCAACGCUGCACCGCGCCAGCUUCAGCUCCUGCUAUCUUCCCCAGAUUAAUGUCGCACCCGCCCUUCUUCUCCCUCAACUCAAGCUGCUCGACCUCUUUGACGUUGUCAUCUCGAAGAAGGCUAUGGAGCACCUGCUCCGCAGCUGUACUGCGCUCGAGUACCUUCGUCUUGAGCAGGUCCACGGGUUCAUUAGCCUCCGCAUCCCCUUGACGAAUCUCCGAUGGAUUUAUGUGUCUUGCUGGCCCCGCAACAAGACAUCAAUUGGGAAGAGACCAUUCCAGUUGUUCCACGUUAUGGUUAUUGAGAAUGCGCCUUUCCUUGAGAGAUUGUUUGUAUCGAAUCUAGAAGGUCCAACAAAAAUCAGGGUCAUUGACGCGCCAAAAUUGACAGCGUUGGUGUACUCAUCUGCCAAAUUCUCCGAACUCUUUAUUGGAUCCGUAAUCAUUCAGGUACAGCACUCAUCUUCUUCUCCUUCUUCUUGAAAUUCACAUUUUUAAAUUUCUUCUUGAUGUAUUUACGACCGUCUUCCAGAAAAUGAUUCCCACAAGCUUGACCCAGUCCAUGCGCACAGUGAAGAUCUUAGCACUAAAAUCUAUCAGCCCCAAUCUGGAUCAAGUUGUUGGAUUCCUUACAUGCUUUCCAUGCACGGAGAAGCUACUCAUCGAGGUGAAACUUCUUUCCUAUAAGUAAACGGUAAUCACAAUGUAGCUCAAUUUUUUCGUAAUUUUCCCAAAUUACGAUGACAAGUGUAGUGAUCAAAACUGCAUUUACGCACUGCACCGAAAGAAAUGUUUUUAGUAUUAUUUCUCACGUGAACACCUGCAUCGUUUUUAUGCCAUACUACUACUAUAGUAGCCUAGGCUAGUCAUAGUGGAAAGUAACUUAGACUACUCCAGUAACUCUAUGGUUACCCUAAGAGCAAGUACUACCUCCGUCCUGGUUUACUCUUCCAAUUUUGUAGUAUCAAAAUUUGACCAUAGAUUUAACUGACAAAAUGUUAAUGCAUGUCACUAAGAACUAUAUCGUUGGAUUCAUAUUUGAACAUAAUUUCAAAUGGUGUAAUUUUUAGUGACAUGCAUUGGCAUUUUCUUAGGUAAAUCUAUGGUCAAAAUUUUAUACUAAAUAUGAGGUAGUAUUCCCUCCGUCCCAAAAUUCUUGUCUUACAUUUGUUUAGAUAUGGAUGUAUCUAACACUAAAAUGUAACUAGAUACAUCCGUAUUUAGACAAAUUUAAGAAAAGAAUUUUGGGACGGAGGGAGUACAAAAGUGGGCUAUGUAGGCCAAAACAUGUGCCAAAUUCACUUGUGAUGCAUUUGGCAUCGAUACCCCUCCAUUGCUCACCUGGUGUCCCAAUCUGGAUCACCUACUUUGCUCCGGUGCCAAAUUAACUCACGCAAUGAAAAAACACUGCUUGGGAGAGAGAGAGGACUGAGGCAAUAAAAAAACACUUGUUUGGGAGAGUGAGAGGCUGGUGUAGUUGGUUUGAUUGAUUUGUUUAUACAUGUGGGUCUGUGUGCACAUCGGUGCCAACUCUCUCACAUCACGAGAGCGGUGCCAAAAUCUUUUGAUUUGACAUCGAUGCAUAUUAUGUGGCAUACUUUUGCGAAAUAUGGCAUCGUCCACAUAGUGGAAGGCAACAAAUGCCCAAGCUCUUCAUGUGCUCCUAGUUAAAUGAGAGGAAACAGAAAGAGAGAGAGAGAGAGAGAGAGAGAGAGAGAGAGAGAGAGAGUGAAAAAAUAUCACUAGCCAGCCAACCCUAUCGUAUGAGCGAAUGAUAUUGGUACCUCUUGAUGACACGGCAAUCUUAUGCAGCCAGCUGCUCUAAUAUGUUCUCUUCUUUUGCAGAUAAAAAAAGACCCGAAAGUGAAAAAUGUGCUGCACUAUAACAAUCUCAUCGAAUGCCUUGAUCUCCAUCUUACAGAAAUUGAUUUGAUCGACUACCGAGGCAGCACAUCUAAGAUUAAAUUGGCCAGGUUCUUUGUUCUGGAGGCAAGUGUGCUCAAGGUAAUGAGGUUUGGCGUUCUCUGGCGCAACAAUGAAUGGCGUGCUGAUCACCACAAGCGUCUAAGCUUAAAUGACAAAGUCUCCGCAGAAGCUGAAUUUGUUUUUGAAACAUCAGGUGGCCAGAGACUCGAAAACUUAUUUGCCCAUUAGUAACUUGUCAGGCGGUGGAUUUUAGUUUGUAUGAUAAUGCAGCAUCCACCUAAAGUAACGAAAGUUCUUACGUAAACUUCCUAGUAAUUCCCUCUUCCUAGGUGCAGCAUUACUCCUAACAUUUGUAAUAUCAGUUUGAAACUUGUAAUAUUGCCAUGUCCUAUUCCUGCGUUUUCAAAAUCCUGCAAAUCAAACAGGUCUUGAGUUAGUGAUGAUGUUGUGCCUCCCAUCUUUCACCAAUAGCCGUCGGAUCUAGAUCUCACGCGUACAAACCAAGCUUCUCCAUUUUUGCAAAAAGAUGCCCGUACUUGUUCCCUAUUUACAAACAACUCCUUGUCUCUCACAAUCAGCCUUAUCUCCUCCCCACCACAUCUAGAAGGCGGUGGAAAAAUCUGGCGCGAUGGCCGCUGCCGGAGCCGUCCAUCCCCCAAUCUUGGUGUUCCGUGCAAUGCACAGGCAUCUACGCACGGGAAAUUAUGUCGAACAGGGCUAGUUGUAAGCAGGCUAGCUCUACAACCAUGAUGAUAGUGACUGCAAACGGCGAGGCUGACUAUGGUAUGCUGAACACGGCGCCUAUACUCAGGUGUCAUCUCCGGCGCAGGGUCUUGUCACUUCACUGUGAGGAGCAGCACGUAAUAAUUUGACCAACAUGUAGUACAGUGCUAGUACUAGUAGCACCACCGUCUGGAUUUAGGAGUACUACCACGUCCAUCUGGAUUUUAGUAUUUGACUAGCAAUAUCUAGUAGUAAUGCAUGUCACAAAAAAUGUACUACUCCCUCUGUAAAUAAAUACAUGGUGUUUUAUUCCUAUCGGCGAGAGAACUUAAUGUUUUUUUGCUAACUACUAAUAGGAAUACAUGCAAUGAACUAAACAUUGCAUGAACAUGUCAUGUUUGGUAGUCUCAAGUCAUUGAAAGCAUGCACGGACCACAUCUCUCAUUGGUUGAUAUGUCAUGAAAUAAGAAACAAGGAGGGAGUUAAUGCACCGUGCCUAAGGCUAGCCAUAGUGGGGGUAACAUAAGUAGUAUCAUGCACUUGGGACUCGCAAACAUGCUUAUGUUGCAGGCAAUUAAAGAAGAGAGAGAUGGUUAUAGUAACAUAGGUAGAUACCGUAACAUAAUAAAUGUGAUGCUACUAUGUUUCAUGCAUGGCAAUAAAUGAGACCACUUAUGAUACUAAUCUAUGACACUAUGCACUAUAAAGAUAGUAACAUAGACUAGUAACAUACGCAUGUUACUAGUCUAAGUUACUCUCCACUAUGACCAGGCUAAGUGUUUUGGGAUUAUUUGGUUUUCGUAAUGUGACUUACACAACAUUUUUGUUUACAUGCACAUUAACAUUUUAUUAGUUAAAUCAAAGGUCAAAACUUGGCGCAAAAUGCAAAGGGGACCAAUAAACCAGUAAACAUCAAACUUCUCUCAUUUGGCCCCAACUAGAGGUCCCGUGAGAUGACUAUACUGCACCGGCACGAAAGUGGACGCAGCUUCAUUGACUUACGGCAACUGCCUUUGGGUGAAUGACACGUGGGCCCAGGGGGUGGCUGGCCCACCUAUCAUACAGCCAAAGGCAGGUGCAGUAGAGGGCCGAGGAGUAGUACGAAAUCCUACACACCUACGCACGCUAACCAAGGGCAAGAGUGAUCACUUGAAUCGCAAGAUCAGUUGACCCAUGGAGGCGAUGAGCGUGAGCAUCAGCCGGCUGUGCCAGAUGGUCCAUGAUGCCGGCCUGCUGCCCGGCAACGAGGAACGUCUCCAGGUAGUAUUGCUUGAGGCCGCCAGGACGAGGGGCCACUUGGACGACAGCUUCGUCUCCUUGUUCGACGAGGUCCUCGUCGGUUUCCUCGACAAGUUCACCGUCGUCAAGAAGCUCGCGGACGACUUUGACGUAAGCCUCCAGCCGACGCGCCCAGGCUCUGCGAUGCCCGCCACCCUCAACGGCCACUAUGUUAACAACCUCUUUGACACACUGGUGGCCCUGCGACUACUCGCCGUCGCAUCGGAGAAUGUCCACCUCGAGGUCGCGCUCGCCGCGCAGCGCCUGGCACAGCAAGACACCAUCGACAUAAUCACCCACAUCUACGCGCAAAUCGUCCACAAGGACUACUACAUGAAAGAGGAUGACGAUAGGACGCUGGCCUUCUUGGACCGCAGGGCAACCUUUGAUGGCACUGUUCAGAAGCACGUUGAGCUCGCCGCCAACGCCGCUGCUCCUCACACGUCGGUUGGUGACCCGGCGCACUAGGGCGUGAGGAUGUCGUUGAUGGAUAUGUUUGUAUUUUUAUCUUUCCGUCAAAUCCAUGUAGUAGUAUAUGAUACUACAGUAAUUAUCUUACCUUUCGCAUCAACUUCAUAAUUUUCGUACGUACUCGAUGCAUGAACGGCGCCAGAACCAAACUUCUCAUUACUCUAGGCAAAAUUGUUAUUUUCUAUCUAUCGAUCGCGCCAUGGAGCAGAACCAAAUUUUACAAGUUACGAGUUCAAAAGGAAAAGCCUGCCGUGUUCGCGUCGCACACCCACAUGGUUGGUCCGGCAUGCCGCUCAAGCAGGAAUGCGUGCGGUGUUGCAUUUUCACUUACAAGUGGGACCAUAGUUGAGCAAACCAACUAUCGGCAAACCCCCACACCGCCCACCGCGCGAUGGCUGAGAAAACAUGAGGGAGAAGAGAUGGUUGUAGCACAGACUCCAAGAAAAUUGGUGUCGGAUGGGACUUGUGUUGGUGGCGUGUGCUGUACUGCUAGACGUGAAUGAUAGUUAUGGCCCAUGCCAGCCCACUAUAUCGAGCCUAUAUCGAGGUACAUAGAACAAAUUUCCUGCAGUCCAUGUUCAGCCCUCCUCUAUCUCUCGUCUCAGCCAGCCAGCGGACGGGCGGAGCCCAUCGUCUGUUUGCUCACAUGCGGUCCCACAUGUCAGUGAAAACGCAAGCGGACCCAUUGAACCUGCACAUCUUUCACCUCGACGUGCUGGUGAUGAAAAACAAAUCCAAGAAAGAUCUUCGGUGGCCGCUUUUGGAGUUACUCAAGAGUGGUAAGAUUCUAUUUACAGUUUAACCCAAGAUGCACAUCUCGUGGCUUCAACUACCACUCUAUUUUCUUUUAUGACACGACCUGGAUGCUGGAUGUCCCACAUGUCGGCAAAAGGAGGAAGAACCCGACCAAAUCUUCGGUUGUGCUCUCGGAUUAGACUAGUUGUGCUAACUUAAAAAUUUUAUUGUGUACUCCCUCCGUUCCAAAAUACUUGACUUCCAUUUGUCCAAGAAUGGAUGUACCUAUAUACUAAAACAUGUCUAGAUACAUAUAUAUUUUGACAAAUAGAAGGCAUGUAUUGUGCAACGGAGGGAGUAGAAUGGAUGCAAGUUUUUGUACUGGGAAGAAGAGUACAUCCAUAUAUUGAUAGAGCACAAUUUAGUAGAUGUUCUAUCACUUUUAGCUAGCACCAAGGCUAUAGAUGAGAUUAGUGCACUUGUUGAUACUCCUACUUGGUAUGCGUGUUGCUUCUUAGACGCAGAGAAAAACGGACCGGAGGGAGUACUAGAAUAGAGGCUAGACAUGAGACUAGAUGCGAGGAAGCAACGUCUACUUCUUUACACUCGAAGAAGAAAGAAGCACGCAAGAUUGAGCCUCCGCAGAUCAACAAUGAAUGCAUCGAGAAGGCACUAAUCCAACUUACAGGAGUAGUAAAAUGUAUUCUUGUGGUUCUUGUUUUCUUUGGUCUUGCUUUUCUAGUCAAAAUUAUCGUUGGAGUUCGUGCAAAAUGGAGGUCCGUUUGGGGUCGCGCAUUGCAGUUGGCCUUACAAGUGGGACCGCAGUUAAGGAAACCGACUAUCGGCAAACCCCCACCUCGGCCGCCGCGCGAUGGCUGAGUUAGAGAAAUGAUGAGGUUGAAGAGAUUGCUCUAGCACGGACUCCAAGAAAUAUGGUGUCAGAUGGAAGUCGUGCUGGUGGCGUGUGCCAUACUCCUGGACGUGAAUGCUUGUUCUAGCCCAUGCCACCCUACUACUCCUACUACUUACUAUAUAGUACUACUAGUAUCGAGGAUUCGAGGUGUUGGUUACGUAGUACAAUAUGGCUACAGUAAAAACACCCGCACAACGCGCGAAGCAUGUGAAGCUAGUACAAAUAGUGUACUACUAUUGUUGAUUGGCCUCAUUCGAUAACCUGUUGCAAUGCACGUACAAUUAUGUAUCCGGAAAAUAUUUUUUUGCCUCAUCGCACACAGAAGCAACUCGAAAGCCAUUCAUAAAUUUAGUAAGUUUAUCACAGGCAUAUCAUUUUAUUACAUACAACAGGUCAUCAACCCACAUCGACAACGAGGAUACAUUAUAAAUACUAAAGUUUUCACCACACAACAAAUAACAAGGAAUGAAAUGAACUUCAACUCAACCAUUCCUCGGCGUUGGAAACGCUUGCUUUGAACCACAAGUGAUUCUCUGGGACGGGGCAUCCAUUGUCGAUCUGGAGACCAACGCAGGACUGAUCAUCCAGGCUGAAGCGUCCUACUAUAUCAGUACCAGGGUAGGAAACCACCCAAAUGUCUGAGGUAUAGACACAGUUGCUUCUCAUAAAUGGUAGUAACAUUGUGUUAACAGCAGUUGGAUCGCAUUUCACCAUCAUUGGAUAGUUUUGUCCAAGGAAGAGCGAGUUUUCUCCAAGACUAUCAAUUCUGUACCAGGGAGAAGGAGUUGGCGCUAGCACACUAGUAUCCAUCCCGAAUACCAUGCAACGGGUGUUGGAAUAGGUCCGGAGAGUGUGACCAUGGGAGACUACACCUGCUUCCUUAGCAGUAACAUCAUUAGUGGGUUGUAUACACACGAGAAUAGGUGAUCCAUCGGAAUUAGUUGCCAGGCGCCAAAUAGUAUAUGGGCGCUGCUCGUCCUCAUGCUCGUGAUCAUCACCAUCGUCAUCUCCCCCCCUUGGUUAUAAAAAUCUUCAAGUAUAGGUGGUGGAAUGUUCGUAGGACCUUGGAAACACAAGAAGAAGGUUAAUUAGUAAAGGGAAACUUGCUAACCCUCAUGCAUGUGGAUGAAACAAUUAUAAUUACGGUGGAAGACAAACGUACCGAAACAACAAUUCCAUGCAAAAACAGUGCCAGGAGUGGUGGCAGCAAACACAAGGCCCUCGUAUUCAAUUGCAUCACAGUACUCAUCUGUGUACAGAAACUGAUUUUUGAGCAAUAUCCAUCGAGUCAAACCAGCAAGGACGGCAACAAGCUUGUCGAAGAUAGCAACAACUUCAUAGUUGUUGUAAUUCCAAGAGCGGUUGGGAACUCGAGAAAUUGCUAUCUUCCGUAGAAGACAGUCACCAUGAUUGUAUUUGAACGUGCGUACAAUACCGGUGUGCUCAACCUCUGGGUAGUCUGCUGAGAUUUUUGGAAGUGGAACCCGGUCACGAGUGUACACAUUCACAAGUUCCCACUCGCAGUUGGACCCAAUGUAAACAACCCAAUCUCCAUUUGUGCCUGCCCAAGCCUUGCCCUCAAGCGAUGGCAUCUCAACAUCAUACGUAUCAUUAUCAAGCGGCAUCAACUUGAACAGGGUGAGGCCUCCGUCGUGACGGCGCCAAUCAUCAGGGUCACAGCGAAGAAGAUAGGGGAGAUCAAACCGCUCCUUGACUCUUGGGUUCCUUGUAAUGAUGUUAUUAGUUGAGUCAAGAAUGGGCUUGAACGAACCUGCCAUGCUAGCCGAGGUGAUGAAGUCGCACCGAUCAAUGAGUUCCUCCACCAUGUCAUCUUUCAGAUCGGGGCAAGAAUAACGGGGUCGUUUCCGUCCUGUUCCCUCCAUGGAGAAGAUGGUCGAACAAUGGCAGAAGAAAGGGUGAAGGGCUGAAGGAAAAUGGAGGAGGGAGAGGAAGAGCGUGCGACAGCAGUUCCAAAUCGAGAGGGAAAGGCGAAGAGUCGGUGGAUGGUUGCCAGUUUGCGAUGGUUCACGAAGGGGCGCCCCGGCCUACACGUCGGUUCGGAAAUACUCCUACUACUCGCCGUCGUCUCACUGAUAUGUUGGAACGGGACCACAUGUCAACGAAACAUGGUGUGUAAUUUCUCGUGCAAAAUGUGAUCUGGCCGCGUUGGCCCGAGGUGCCGCAAUAGUUAUCGACCUUUAUUUUUUUAAUGGCGUGCCAUUCAGUUUUGAAGCACGACUAAUUGGUAUUGUACGCAGAGAAAAUAUAAACUACUCUACCACUACUCCACCUCCAGUACUAGUAGUAUAAAAAAGAUAUAUAGGCUGGAGCUUCAGCGCUUUCUUGCCAAGGGUUGCCCACUUGCUUCUCACACUACCACCCUCUCUCCGGAUCUAGAAAAGACGGGCCCUCUCUCCCUCCUCACCGGUGGUCACAGAUACGCGGGGGAAGAAAAGGACAUGCAGCGUUGACGCACUCGUCAUCGGCGAGCGAGGUCACGCACUGACGACAAGGCUGUCCUCUCAGACCUAGCGCCCGCGCUGGAUGGCCUCCGUCCCCAAGCUCGCUGCCAUAGUGUGCGGAGGAGGAGGACCACGAGCGAAGCCACUUCCCGCCGACCCUCAGGUAUGCUACCUCUUUUCGAACCAUACCCUUGUUCUAUUGCCCCAUCUGGCACGUCGUUGCAUGUGGAUCUUUUUCCACUCCACCAUCUUCCCAAUUUGCUAUCCUCUGCUCUGCUUGCCACGCAGACGAAAACCAUAAUUUGCACUAUUAAAGGAAACCCUACUUCAUGCAGACUAAUCCAUGUCUAGGUUGAAUAAGGAAAGGAAGGGAGACUGUACUGUCCAAGAGAGUAGGCAUCGAACCCGCAUCUAGGUUGAAAAGGGGAAAAUCAGUAGCUAAGGAACGAGUCUCGUGUCUCUUGGUUGAAGAAGGGUAGAAAGGCAUGACAACGCAAUGGAGAAUGACCAGGUCGAUUGGUUUGUUGUCCUCACAUAGGAAAAAGGUUGCUAAAGAGAACAAAAAUCGGACGUAAUCCACAUAUGUUGUCUGGAUAUUUGUUGCUCUGGGCAACCAUACCUCCCUCACCACUCUGCGUCCGUGGAGGUACAUCGUACUGGUGCGCCCACUGUCCUAAUGGGCCUCCCAUGCUCUUAUUGCCACUUUUUUGUUGUUAGUAAAAUGCCAGCAGUCAAGUCAAGCAAUGCUACUGCUAAAGUGAUGCCACAUUUAACUAAUGCCGCUCUCAGUCUAAUGCCACCGAUAAAUUUAAGCAAUGCCAUUUAAUGUCACUGGAUUAUUUCAGAGUUAGCUGUUGAUUGUGGAUGUAUUAAAGAUUUUUCAACUAAGGCAUUCUAAUGCUGUUGCACAGCCUGUAAUAAACUAACUACUCUACUGUUGCACUAGCCACUGGAUUAGUGUAUAUUUGUAGUAUUCGAAUGGUGUUGCAUUAGCGUAUGGACAUAAAUAAAGUGUGGCAAGCUUUCCCAGAUAUGUGCUCAAGAAAACUACUACCUGUUUUUCUAAAUACUAGACAUUUGGGUACUUUAAAUUGAACCGCGAAAACGUCUUAUAUUAAGGAACAGAGGGUGUAGAGUUCACUCAAAUUAUCCCGGUAAAGCUAGUCACACCUUUGUUAAAAUUAAUGUUCAUUAUGUUAUCGGAGGAGGUCUGUAUGUUUGUCUCUAAUACCUGUCGACUACAUACCUGACAUCAUGAUGUAAUGUUAAGUCAUUUCCUUUUGUACAGUGUCACUGAAUUGUCAAGGCGGUGAUGGCAUUUUUUAGUAGAACUGCACAAAAUUUGCUUAAAAGAAGAGGAAAGGUCGGGAAUGGCUCAGUUUUUCAGAAAAAACUAUGUAUGCCUUCCUGACAUCAGUCGUAGUUACUUUAUUUAUUCCUUCAAGGUGGUUAGAAAUAGUCUUGCUACCUUUUCCCAUUAAGAAAUUGGAAUGCUUAUAUUUGUGAGUCUAUGCUUCAACUAGUGCCACUUUUAUAGUAAUCACACUUUCAAUAUCUAUGCAAACAGGGAUGCUCGAUUUUAGUGCAACUGCACAAAAAGUCCAACUGGUUCAACAUUAGGAGCAUGUUUUUUCCAAACCUUUAUAUCCAAUUGGUGGCACUAUGAGCUGUUCAUUAGGAAGGUACAUGGUUUGCUACUAUCUUGGUACUCUUUUUGUAUUGUCAUUAGAUAGUAAUACUAGUGGUUUGCAUGUGAAUUUAUUGGCAGGGUGGACCUACAUUGGAGGUGCAGGACAGGAUUCAAUGAUUGGAUGCUCAAUUUCGGUUGUAUCGAUUUUACCUCUUCCAUCACCGCGAACAUGGUGUGGUAUAUGUUUACUAGCUGCUUGAUAUUUGUGCAGACAGAGAUGUCUGCCCGUUGCUAUUUGGCAAACAAACAAAGUGUCUGCAAUUUUGGUUGAACUGCACAAAAGAAUAGUAUAGUCACUGCAUGCAGUGCCAUUUGAAAAUAGACACGAAGAUUGGAUAGUCACUUCAUGGACUGCAGAAAAGUAGUACUGUACUAUUUACUGUCCAACACUAGGUGCUUCAUUGCUUUGGUCUGAUUAUACAAUGGGCAUCAUUUUCCCUAAGUUAAAGUUUGUAUUCCGAAAAUAGUCUCGCGGUGUGAUCAAGAGAAGACCAAAUCAUAUUGCAGUGGAUGUUCCUCCAUCAUGUGUGGUUCAUUCUCAUGGUUCCAGCUGUUGGUGAAACCACUUACGUUUGCAAGAGGAAUUGUAGACUUCACAAACAAAUUUGUCUUUCAGUCUGUACUGAAUGUUUGCCAAGAGAAGCAUCCAUGUUAGUAGGAAGAACAGAUGUUUUUUCUAGAUCUUUGCUUUUGGAGCUACAUAUUUGUAUAUGAUCUGUGAAUCAUUGAGAUCUAUUAACGUGUUGAUCUUAUGUAUGGGAAUCGUACUAGUUAGUUUUAGUUGCAAGUCUUGUGACGCAAGAUCCGAAGUGGUUGAUCUUUGCUUUUGGAGCUACAUAUUUGUAUAUGAUCUGUGAAUCAUUGAGAUGCAUUAAUAGUUACUUAUUUCUGUUCGCUCAGUGUUUACAAGUUACUGAUCAAUCACUAGCUAGCCUACAAAUGCGCUUUUGGCAGUUUUAUUUGCGAUGCAAGAUGCGAAGUGGCAGUUUUUUGAAUAAAAAUGCCUACCUCUGAAGAAACUGACAAGCUACACUAUCGAUCCUACACGGAUAAAAAUGCCUACCUCUGAAGAAACUAACAAGCUACACUAUCGAUCCUACACGGGUAAAUAGCGGACCACGCACGUACUACCUCCUUUCCGGUUUGCAGGGCUCAAUUCAAGAAACGACAUACUCGAUCCUACACGAAUAAAUAGCGGAUCACGCAUGUACUAGUACCUCCUUUCCGGUUUGCAGGGCUUAAUUCAAACCUCUCACCAACCAAGGUCCUCCCUCCAUCCGGGUUUAUUAGUCCCGUGAGCAAAGCAGCAAGACCAAGGCAUGGCAAUAAUUAAUGGCAUGCAGAAGUUUAAGCCUAAUUAGUUCCAGCGAUUUAAGUGGCUGCAUGCGUGCCCUCGGCUGCGACUCAUUGCAUGCUGCUUCGCGUACUACCUGUGAGCGAUUCUAAGUGCCUGCAUGCAGCCGGCCAUAAUUAAGGCAGCUAACUGAUGUGAAAAAAGAUACGCUUUAAUUGUUGCGGGCUUUUUAAAUCCGUGAAAUCAUCAUUGACAAGGAGGGAGAUGAUUUGAGUGCACUCGUUUGACCGCCAUGUCGGCGUGCGACCUAGACGGGACGGGACGGCAUAGUCAUAAUUUCAGUUUCCCUAGUUUCCCACGGCAAGCUGGCAAGCUAAGCCAUUAUGCAUUGAAUUUCGAUGACCGUCGCGCUACCUUCCCCCUAUAAGUACUGUUUCCCGGCCUUCUCCGGUGCCACCGUGACCCAACUCGCCAUAUCCUCAUAAGCCCCCACCGGCCCGACGUCGCUCGCCACGUCCGCCAUGCCCCCGCCCAUCCACGGUAGGCGACGCCAGAGGCGGUCACCGCCGGAACUAGUGUUCGGUUUUUCACCGGAAGGCAGACGGAGGGAGGAGGCAUUCUAUCUGUCUUUAGAUGGCAAUGCGCAGAUCGAGGAGUUGUUGGAGCGCGACCGCAUGGCGGAGGAGCAGGAGUUGUUGGAGCGCGACCGCCUGGCGGAGGAGCAGCGUAUCGCCGAUUUGCGCCGCCAGCGGGACAUGGAGCAUCAGCGCACCGACGCUCUGAGUCGCGAGCAGAGCGCCCGCAACUGGGCCAACUACGUGGAGGCCGGCGCCCGGCAAAUAGUCCUGGAGGCUGUCGGGCACGCACGCGUUCGCGACGCCGAUUUUUACUACCAGCUCGUCAAGUGGGUUUCCCGCUUGGAAGUCGAAGCUUUGGUGGACCACGUCGGCAUGGAAAGGGCCAACGCGCGUGAGCAAUGCGCCCUAUCGCACCUCUGGCAAGUCCGAGGCGAGGCACAGGACGCCGAUGCCGGCAUUUAGCGUGUACCACAGAUGGCGGCCGGCUUCGUCUAGUUAGCUAAGAGUAAGUUAGUACUUGUCUAGUGGGAGUAGAUAGUUAACUUGGCUAUGAUGGUUGUCAACAUGGAAGUUUAGUACUCUAUAUGUGGAUCAGACCUAUUACUUUGCUCUGAAUGUUGAACUUUCCGUUUGAACGUAUGGAAUUGGCUGUUAUUUUUUUUAAAUGGAUUGUAUUUGUCCUCCACGGGUUUAGAGGCUGACUUGUGGGCCUAGCAAGUUGAUGCGUACACAAUUAGGAGAUGAUUGUACGUGGAGAGGAUGACAGUAGGGACCCGUCAAGGUCAUGGCAGUACGCAAGCAAGUGCCUCCUUAUUUCAAGCCAAUAAAAAAUGGCUCCUCCUAGUGGAUUUCUAACAUCUGGGUCCCAUGCCAUUGUCAACAUAGUCAAUAAACGAGAGAAUUGCACAACGAGCGGCUGACACCAGGGACCCAGCAGCUCGCCCAUUUUUUUUUUGGGUUAAUUUGAUAAAUGCCUCCGAGAAAUGCCACUACAAUUUCCAAACUUUGAAAAAUGCCAUUUCAUGCCAUUUCUAGUGGUAUUUUUCGAAGUCUGGAGUGGCGUUUUUCAAAGUUUGCAAACUGCAGUGGCGUUUUUCAAAGUUUGCAAAAAUUGCAGUGGAAUUUUUUAAAGUUUGGAAAUUGAAGUGGCAUUUUUAUGAAUCGCCAUAAUUGGAGUGGCAUUUAUCUAAUUUGUUUUUGAGACGGAAGCAAGGUGUCAACUAGGCUGUGCAGGACACUCUGGCCUGUCUAGACAGCCUUUUCUUUUAUGUUUACCACAGACCAGCCCAGUAGUUUUUUUUUCCUUUCUGAAAAUGGCUAGCCCAGUUUUUUUGUGAUUUGUCAAGUAAGUCGCUUUAUCAGGCCUGUUUGGCUGUAAAUCUUUCAAGACAAGGAGAGCUUCAUUCGGCUGGCCGGGAAAAUGGUCUAUCAGUAAUGAGAAAUGGGUUGUACAUUUUUAAAACACAUUAAACCGGCAAUUAGUUUCAAAUAUCUUUUUUCAUUUUGGGAUUUUUAAAUUGCAUUGAUUUUAUGCAUGGACAAUUUAUUGGAUUUUAUAUUGAUAUACAUUUAUCUUUAAAAUCAGUCUGAAUGUGACUCGAAAUUUCGGGAUUAAAAACAGUUCAGACCGCACCGACAUAUGCAAAAUUUCGUAUAAUUUUUUAACCGUGGCCACAAUAUGGGCUGUAAUGCUAACAAAAAGAAUAUGGGCUCCAAAAAAACCCGUAAGACUUAGCAAAUGCGCUAUAAACUAUUUGAAAUAAUGGCAGAUGGGUUGUAUGCUAUUUUCCACAGAUUUGAGGCUUUCCACAGAUAGCAUGUAUACUGUUGGAUGUCCAAUCAACGGCCGUCGUGCUUCUUCAAUCUUUGCUCUUCCUGAUGCAGCCGCUCAAACAAGCGCCGGCGGGACUACCUGCUCCCUCCUCCACACGGCCGGCUGUGCUGCCACGCAGGCCUCACCGCCCCACCGUACUCCCAUCGCGGGCCUAGCCAUCCCUCUACUCACCCACAGUCCCACACCUGCUGUUAUUCUCCAGCGACAGCAGACGAAUCAGUAAACCCUCGUACAGUCGUACUCCCCUCCGCGUGGGAAACAACUGUCGAGUCUUCUCUGCUUCCGUGUCGUUCCCUUCCUAGGCCUCGCCGUCGUCCACCGCCCUGGUGCUCUCGGCGUGGCGUGGUCAACGUGGUAAAUGAUCGACAUGCAUCUGAAGUGGACUGUACGUGGAGAGGCUGACAGCUGGGUCCACGGCCGCACGCAAGAAAAUGCCUCCUUAUUACGCGCAAAAUAAUGAUUCCUCCACCUGACAUCUGGGAUCCACCGAAAGGGCCUCUGUAUUUCACGGAAAAAACGUUACCGCCGCUGACAGCUCGGACCCACUAGCUAUAUCUUCGCACGCAAGGAAGUGCCUCCUUAUUACGCCAAAAAAAAAAGAAUACUCCCCAUACGAUGUCCACUAAGUUGACGGGGCCUACUAAGUUAACGGGGACGAAGGGCUUUGUCAACUUAGUCAAUAUGCAUGAUUCUAGCUCGACUGACCGUACGAUGUCCAUCCAACGACCGUAGUGCUUCUUCAACCUCUGGUCUUCUUGCUCCAGCCGCCCAAAGCAGCGCCGGUCGUGCCGCCUACUCCUGCCUCCCGUGGCCGCCUAUGCUGCCGCAGAGGCCUCACCGCCUCCAUACUACUCCCACCGCUGGCCAGGCCAUCCCUCCACUCCACUCACCCACACACCCUGUUAUUCUACGGCGAUGGCAGCGCAGCCGAACCAGUGAACCCUCGUACUCCUCUCCGCAUGGGCAUCCACUGUUGCGUCUUCCCCGGCUUCGCGUCGUCCCCUUCCUAGGCCUCACCGUCGCCGUGGUGCUCUCGGCGCAGCGUGGUCAAUGUGGUCAACGACCGAAUUCCAUCGGAAGAAUACUGUACGUGAAGAGGCUGAUAGCUGGGUCCACGGCAGCCGCAAGGAAGUGCCUCCUUAUUACGCGGAAAAUAAUUAUUCCUCCACCUGACAGCAGGGACCCACCGAACGGGCCAGCAGUAUUUCGCGAAAAAAAGGUUUGCCCCUGACUGCUGGGACCCACCCGACGGGCCACCAUAUUUCACGAAAAAAACGUUCCCCCUGCUGUCAUCUUGGACCCACCGGAAGUGCCUCCUUAUUACGCACAAAAAAAAUUAAUACCCCCCUGCUAGCUGGGACCCACCUUUGUGGGAGGCUGACUUGUGGGCCUACUAAGUUGACGGGGACGGAGGGUUUUGUCAACUUAGUCAAUAUAAACGAUUCUAGCUCCAGUGACCGUAUGAUGUCCAUCCAACGACCGUAGUGCUUCUUCAAUCUCUGGUCUUCUUGCUCCAGCCGCCCAAAGCAGCGCCGGUCAUGCCGCAUGCUCCUGCUUCCCUUGGCUGGAUGUGCUGCCGCAGAGGCCUCACCGCCCCCUACUAUUCCCACCGCUGGUGAGGCCCUGCGGCGACGGCAGCCUCACACCACAGCCGAACCAGUGAACCCUUGUACUCCUCUCCGCGCGGGCUUCCACUGCCGCGUCUUCCCCGGCUCCCCGUCGUCCCCUUCCUAGGCCUCGCCGUCGUCCACCGCCCUGGUGCUCUCGGCGCGGCAUGGUCAACGUGGUCAAGGAACGACUUUCAUCGGACGUGGACUGUAUGUGGAGAGGCUGACAGCUGGGUCCACGGCCGCAGCAAGGAAGUGCCUCCUUGUUACGUGGGAAAUAAUUAUUCCUCCACCUGACAGCGGGGACCCACCGGACGGGCCACCGUAUUUCGUGAAAAAAACAUCUCCCCCCUGACUGCUGGGACCCACCAGCUGCACCUUCGCACGCAAGGAAGUGCGUCCGGGCAAAAAAAAUGAUUCGCCCUCCUAACUGCUGGGACCCACCAGCUACAUCUUCGCACGCAAGGAAGUGCGUCCGGGCAAAAAAAUGAUUCUCCCCCCUGACUGCUGGGACCCACCAGCUACAUCUUCGCACGCAAGGAAGUGCGUCCGGGCAAAAAAAAUGAUUCGCCCCCCUGACUGCUGGGACCCACCCGCUACAUCUUCGCAGGCAAGGAAGUGCCUGACAGUCGGGACCCACCUAGUCGAAGCGUACGUAGCGUUGUCAUUCUGGUCGCGAACGUGUACGUACAUACUGGUCGAUGUAGAGGCGUGCAUGUGUUGUAGUAGAGGCGUCCACGUGUCGUAGUAGAGGCGCACACGUAGCAUGUACACAUACGUAUAGUGGCGAGGGUGCAAGAAAGAAAAUACGGCCACGUACGUACAUACGGGCAGGGUCUCGAACGCCUACUCGCGCAUACGUACAUGGCUGGGUCAGAACGGAGAAACAGCGUCGUCGUCGUGUUCAUGGGGAGCCAACUGGCUGGGUCGGAACGGAAUGCGUGGUCGUGUUCAUUGGGAGGGCUUGGACAGAACAGGCGAUGGAAACGAGGUCUGGCGUACCGCACAACGGAGGAAAUGAACCUCCUACGUUCGGAACAGGGGCAUGUUGAUCGGGAGGGGUGUGGCGUACCGCACAACAGAGGAAACGGACCUCCUACGGUCGAAACGGGGGUCCUGUUGAUCGGGAGGGGUGUGGCGUANNNNNNNNNNNNNNNNNNNNNNNNNNNNNNNNNNNNNNNNNNNNNNNNNNNNNNNNNNNNNNNNNNNNNNNNNNNNNNNNNNNNNNNNNNNNNNNNNNNNNNNNNNNNNNNNNNNNNNNNNNNNNNNNNNNNNNNNNNNNNNNNNNNNNNNNNNNNNNNNNNNNNNNNNNNNNNNNNNNNNNNNNNNNNNNNNNNNNNNNNNNNNNNNNNNNNNNNNNNNNNNNNNNNNNNNNNNNNNNNNNNNNNNNNNNNNNNNNNNNNNNNNNNNNNNNNNNNNNNNNNNNNNNNNNNNNNNNNNNNNNNNNNNNNNNNNNNNNNNNNNNNNNNNNNNNNNNNNNNNNNNNNNNNNNNNNNNNNNNNNNNNNNNNNNNNNNNNNNNNNNNNNNNNNNNNNNNNNNNNNNNNNNNNNNNNNNNNNNNNNNNNNNNNNNNNNNNNNNNNNNNNNNNNNNNNNNNNNNNNNNNNNNNNNNNNNNNNNNNNNNNNNNNNNNNNNNNNNNNNNNNNNNNNNNNNNNNNNNNNNNNNNNNNNNNNNNNNNNNNNNNNNNNNNNNNNNNNNNNNNNUCACUGUUCAUCCAAUCGAUCGGCUUCAGUUAGCAACAGUAGCGAAGGAAUCGCUCCAUUGGGUUCAGUUAACAGCCAUCGAUCGAUCGCUCGGAUUCAGUAACGCGUAGCCUGCAGUGCAAUCGCUCGGGUUCAGUUAGAGCCCAACGCCUCGCUCGGGUUCAGUUACAGCCAACGCCUCGCAUGUGUACGAGAGAAACGCGCAUCGCUCGGCCCCCGACCUCCCACCGUAACCGGCAACUCCCCGAAAUUUUCCUCCCCUCGCUUCUACCAUGGUUUUUUCCGUUAUGGACGGCCCAAAGAAUGUCAUGCAGCUGCGUCUCUGGCCCGCCCAAGAUGAAAAGCCCAUUUUCUGUCAUGAUUUUUUUUCAUAGAAGUAGGAGCCCACCACAUCUAUGAUGAUACCGGGUUUUGUCACAAUUAUCGUCAUAGAAGUGUCAUAUGUAUGACAGAAGAAAAUUCGUUCGGCCCAAAAUGUCACGGAUGUGUCUUUUUUUUGUAGUGCCAGUGUAUGCGGAUGAUAUUCCUCAAAAUAUUCAGGAUGGUUUUGACCACACGUGCAACUACGUCAAGCAAUGCCAUGACACGCUCGAGGUGAAGCUUGGCCAAAGGAUCGAUGUUCUGAUCGCCCGGUUCAACGCUUUGGCGGACACCAUCAAUACGCCGACGACUAAUUCUGCACCACCACAGGCUGCUCCGGCUGCUCCACUACAUUAUGCACCACCGGGUCGCGAUGGACAUGUCGGCGUGCAUGAUCGCCGUUUGGUGCCACAACCACAUGUUGGAGAUGAUGGCGUUGAUGACGGAGUUGACCAUGAGGCGGGGUACGCACCACGACCGCGACACUAUGAGCCAUGUCCUGAAACUUCCGCUCGUGGUGGAGCGCACGACCAUGUGGGUCAAGCUGUGCAUGUUCCUUUGGAUGAUGGAAUUGGGCUCAUAAAAAUUUCAAUCCCUUCAUUCUCCGGCAAGUGCGAACCAGAAGGCUAUUUGGAGUGGGAGAUGCGUGUUGAAGGAGAAGAAAGUUCAACUUGCUGGAAUUGAGUUCACCGGUUACGCACUAAUUUGGUGGAGUCAAAUUUGUCGUUCAAGACAUCGCCCGAUGACUUGGAGAGGUAUGAAAGAAUUCACAAGGCGACGUUUUGUUCCCGAGCACUAUAAAAGAGAUAUGUGUAACAAGUUGCAGCGGAUCUCUCAAGGCAAUAUGAGUGUUGAUGAAUAUUACAAGGAGAUGGAGUUGCUUAUGAUACGUACAGGAUAACGGAGGAUCCGGAGGCAACCAUGGCACGUUUCUUUAAUGGACUAAAUAUUGAGGUGCAGGAUCGUGUUGAGAUGGUGGUCUACUACAACAUACAAGAUCUUGUGCACCAAGCUGUGCGUGUAGAACAGCAGAUUAAGCGACGCCAAGUUAGCACAGUUCCCAAUACUACUUUGAACACAUGGCGGCGCUCGCAGCAUAAGAGUGAGGAUGUAGGUCCUAGCUCGAGGACAGCCGUGUCAAAUCACUCCCAUGGUUUCGUGCAAAAGGAUGCUUCAAAAUCAGGAUUGUCGAAGUUUGAUUCUAAUGCACAGUCCACCACACGUACCAGUAACAUAGAGUGUUUCAAGUGUGGAGGAAGAGGGCAUAUGAGGCGUGAAUGUCCUAAUGAGAAAAGAGUGUUGCUCACAAGAGAUGGAUAUGCAUCCGCUAGUGACGAAGAGGCAGUUUCUGACACUUCUAGUGAAAAAACUGAAGAAACAGAAAAGGUGGUUGCGAGUUUUGAAGCUGCUGAAUCAUAUCCGUCUUUGAUGGUGCAACGGGUUCAAGAGGAUCACAUUGAGAAUAAGGGGCAGCGUUGGAAUAUUUUUCAAACUCAAUGCAAAAUCAACAACACCAAUUGUAAGUUAAUUAUAGAUGCAGGAAGCUACACCAACGCGGUCAGCAAGGGAUUGGUGGAAGCUUUGGGGUUACCUACAUGGAAGCACCCUUAGCCACACCGUGUCGAGUGGAUGUAUUAUACAGGGAAGAUGAAGGUUACACAUAAGGUCCGUGUGAAUUUUUCUGUUGGCGAUUAUACUGAUAUGGCAAUAUGUGAUGUUUUUCCAAUGGAUGCAUGCCAUCUAUUGUUGGGAAGGCCAUGGCAAUAUGAUCGUGGUGCCACACAUGACGGGAGGUCCAACAUUUAUUCAUUUUGGAAUAAUGGUAAACGACAUGUGCUGCGACCAAUGUUUGCUAAUGCCAUCAAGGGAGAUGUUAAUGUUUCUCCUCGGAAAAAGAUUGCAACACUUGUUUCAAAACCGAGGACGGCUUCGAUUCAAGAGGGAGAGGAUGAUGUGCGCAACAAUGGUUUUAUUGUUUUUUCAGUCCAAAACACGGUUGGUUUACUUGGUGCUACUCCAUGUACUGAACAGAAGACGCGCUUGACAAGAUAUUCAGAUGCAAGUAUACUGGAGCAUUCAAGAUAUGAUCUACCAAAUGUUUUACAGAUCGGUUCGUUUAAUUUCGAGAUUCCACCAGUCAAACCAGAGAAGGAUACUGUCAGACCAAACUUCAAGACUCCUCCAAGAUAAAUGGAUGUUGGUGCCUUCUUCGUUCAGUAGCAGACAAAGUCCUUUCUUUUCUAAACAAGUCCUAUGUAAUCAACGUGGCCGGAAAGAUUAAUUAGAGUAUUUAAUUAGGAAAUACAUUAGGCGAGAGAAGACGUGUCCUGGUUAUUUUUAUUGAAGUAGCAUACGUGAUCGAGUCGGUUAGAGUUUGGUACGCUGAUUGUGGCUGGUUUGCAUCGCCUAUAUAUUGGGCAUAGUCAGUUUUGUAUCGGGCAGAUUUGUUUUAGUUUGGAGUUGAUAAACACAAAAGAAAAGGCCUCAUGUUAGGAGGCACUAAGGAUGUGUUUUUGUGAAUCCUAGGGAUUCGUUGCUGCUGUGCUCGUGUCUGAUCUCAUAUCAGUUUUGCUGCAAGUCUUCUCCUUUGGUUUCUUACCUUAUCCGUUUGAUCCGAAGGUUUCUUUUCUUCUACGCCUAUUUCUUCUACGACUUUUGCUGCCAUUGUUCAUUGUUAUUUUGCAAGUACCGUGGAAGAUCGGAUCAGUCAACGACUCGUCGUCUAGUCGAGUCAUAUCAAUCCCCUUGUCUGACUCCACGAGACGGCUGAAAUUCUUCCAAUUUCUUCCCAUUAAACAUGACUGAAACUUGACUAUGGUAACAAGGCUCCUCACAAUAUUCACCCACCUCUCUGUGAAGCCUAGUUUUAGCAUGACAACUCUUAGGUAAGGCCACUCGAUCAUGUCGUAAGCCUUCAUCAUAUCCAGCUUCAGGGCAUAAGAUUGAUGCUUCUUUGCUUUAUUUCUUUUCAUGAAGUGCAAACAUUCAUAUGCUAUUAUGAUGUUGUCAGUGAUCAACCUACCUGGCACAAAUGCAGACUGUUCCUCUAAUACUAUCUCAGGUAACACGGCAUUAGAUAUUACUUUUGAGGCAAUCUUGUAUAGCACAUUACAAAGACUAAUCGGUCGGAAUUGUGAUAGGAGAGUUGGAUUUGUUACCUUGGGGAUCAACACCAAAACCGUUUCGCUAAUGCACUCCGCUGACUCCGUGCCUUCUACUAUUUUCAGGACAACAUUGGUAACCUCGUCACCGCACACAUCCCAGUGCCUUUGGAAAAAGUGGGUUGGGAACCCGUCUGGACCGGGGGCCUUUAUAGGAAACAUCUGAAAUGGUGCCGUCUUGACCUCUUGUUUACUGUAUGGUGCAUUGAGAGAGUCAUUCAAUGCUUGGGUGACCUUUGUUGGGACUGUAUCAAUGACUUGUUCCAUGUUGUUUACCCCCUCCGAUGUGUACAACUCCUUAUAAAACAAGGUUGUCAAAGACUCCAUUUCAGUAAUUUUUUCAAUGAUCUGCCCAUCUGGACGCUGAAGUGCUUUGAUUUGAUUCUUCCGUCUGCGCCUGCUGGCUCGAAGAUGAAAAAAAGUACGUAUUUUUGUCGCCAUGUAUUAGCCAUUCUACUCUCGCUCUCUGCCUCCAUAGUAUUUCUUCGCGGUGGAAAAGUUCAACCAAGCGAUCUGAAACUUUGACUUCCUCGCGAGACGGUCCCAUCCUGCCAUGUGCCGAGCGUAACUCCUGAAGAGUGUUUUUUUAAUCUGCAGAUUUAUUGUCGCACCCGGCUGUAGAUGCUCUAACCGCCAGUUAGUUGCCCCCGGUCCAAAUAGGCUAUGUAUGGGCCACACCAAGGCAUUGGAAAGGCCGUCGAACUCCAUCCCACAAUCGUAUUCAAAGUUUAAGAACGCCUCAUCGACCACUCCGAAUCCCGCCAAGAACCGAUACCAUGCCAAGGUUCCAUAAUAUACAGCACCGAUCGCGUCACCGCAAGUCCACAACCAGUUUGCAAGAUUUUCUGAUUGGAGACCUAGAUCCGUUUCGCCGGAGCCCGCACACCGCCGCCGAGCAUUGCCGAUCGGUGUUCCCUUGGUGCGUGCGCGCACCCGCCAGCGGCCGAUCGACGCCAUGGGGUUCUUCAACGGCAAGACGAAGCAGACGACGACGCACUACAAGAAAUAUGUCAACUUGUGACCUUCUCUCAGUGACCACGGCGAAAUUGGUCAUAAAUCCACGGUCAUUUCGCUUGGAAGGGCUCAAACCCUAAAAUUGUCUUACACGAAAUGGUCAUAAAGCAGACAAGAGUGGUCAACGACCUUAUUUCUAUCUGAUUACGACCAAUAUAAAUGGUCAUGAGGUUUUGAACGUGGAUGCAUUGGUACUUAAGGUGUCGCUCAAGGUGGGCUUGGGCCUCGAUGGAACGAGGCCAGCUUUUUCUAAAAAUAUCUCUGUGCCAUGUAGGCCGCGGCCCAUCCAGGAAGAAAUGUGGGAUGCCCUCAUAUUACUCACAAAAAACAUAUAUUCGGCCCAACGAAAAUGGGAAAAUAACAAGUUUUUCAUGUAUUUAAAUUUUUCUAACCAAUAUCAACAAUGUUUUAUAUGUAUACAAAAAUGUACAAUGUGUAAAAACAAAUAUAGACAUCAAAACGUAUGUAUGAAAAGAUGUUUUUUGUUGGGAAUAUAUGAAAAUAUGUAAAUAAUGUAUUUGAAAAAAGUUAUACAUAUAUAAACAAUAUGUACAAUGUGUCUUAAAAAUGUAGACAUGUGUUCAAAAUAUUAGACAUCAAAAUAUUUAUUAAAAAUGUUAAUGAUGUAACUAAAAACCGUUUAAUAUAUAUAAAAAAUGUUUCUCGUGUACACAAAUUUGUUCAUAAAAUGUGGUCUAAUAUUCUUGAAAAAUGGAGAAGUUUUUUUUUACAAAAAAUAUUUGUUAGAUUCUUCACAAAAAAACUCAUUUUGGGAACUCGAAAAAUGGAAAAUGAAUAUGCGGAAAUUUGUCUUUUUCACGACAGGUGGAUCAAAAAGUUUUUACAAUUUUCACGAGAGGUGGAAAAUGAAUAUGUUUUCUAGAUUAACAAUUUUCAGAUGUUUUAUUUGGAGUGUUGUUUUUACUAUCAUUGGUGGUAGGAAAGUUUUGCUCUCUAUACAUAAUAUUUGAAAGUAUAAAAAAAGUAAAAAAAAAAGUGAAAAAGUGAAAAAAAAAAAACCGAGGCUAUGGGCUCCCCGCAUGAUGGGCCGUCCCGGUCUCGUGCUCCUCAGGCGAGGCUGCCCUACGUCUUGCGUCAAGCGAGACAUAGGCGCGCCCCUCGUAAGGCGCCUCACGUUUUGAACUUGCCUCAAGAACUAGUUUUAAAAUUCAGAGUUUCAGACUCUCGUCGACCACUGCGAAUCCUGCCAAGAACUGAUACCGUGCCGAGGUUCCAUGGUAUAUACAGCACCGAUCGCAAUCACCGCAAGUCCACAACCACUUUGCGAGAUUUUCUGAUUGGAGACCUAGAUCCGUUUCGCCGGAGCCCGCACGCCGCCGCCGGGCGUUGCCGAUCGGCGUUCCCUUGGUGCGUGCGCGCGCCCGCCAGCGGCCGAUCGACGCCAUGGGGUUCUUCAACGGCAAGACGAAGCAGACGACGACGCACUCGCAGAAGCCGGAGCGGCGCGUGAAGGUGCGGGUGGAGCCCCCCGGGUACAGCCACCACGAGUUCGAGCUGCCGGCGUCGCACCUACGCAGCAGGCACUUCGCGUCGCUGAUGGCCAAGGCCAAGAAGGAGCGCGGCGUCGAGGGGGAGGUGGUCGCCAUCCCGUGCGCGCUCGAAGACUUCCUCGUCCCCAUGGUGAAGACGAUUUCCCGAGCGCCGUUUGAUUCCUCGCCGAGAUGCCCCAUCCUCAGCUGGUUCUCAGCUCGGUCACGUUGAUGUCACCUCCAAUCUAGGCAGUAGCCCUCGUUAUCGUUGCUCCACAUCUUGUAGAGGGUUGUAGUUGAUGGACUCAGAGAUGUAUUGCUCAGAGAAGUGUAGAGAUGUAUUGCCUGACAUCUUGUCGAGGGCUGUAACUGAUGGACUCUAGAGAUGUAAUGUAUUUCUCAGAGAAAAAGUGUGAAUAUGCAUGUAUUUUGUCAGUGCUAUAAAUUGUACUUCUUGCUGAGGGCUGUAACGAAGUGUAGAGAUUGAUCGCAAAUCCAUGUUGAAUGUUCUUCCAUAAAUGGCACAUAUCUCUUUGGAAACAGAAGAACACACCAUGUAUUUUCAACUUAUACAGAAGUGUUGCAUAUUCGACCCCAGUUCAGUAGACAGAGCUUCGCAAUCGAACUUGAAGAACAUGGCUUGUAUACUCCCACUACUUCUUUAGGACAUGGCUGACUUGCUUAUCACAAGUCGUUUCCCGAAAAGGAAAUAUUGAGACUGAGAUGCUGAUUCGUUCGCUGGCUCAAGACUGNNNNNNNNNNNNNNNNNNNNNNNNNNNNNNNNNNNNNNNNNNNNNNNNNNNNNNNNNNNNNNNNNNNNNNNNNNNNNNNNNNNNNNNNNNNNNNNNNNNNNNNNNNNNNNNNNNNNNNNNNNNNNNNNNNNNNNNNNNNNNNNNNNNNNNNNNNNNNNNNNNNNNNNNNNNNNNNNNNNNNNNNNNNNNNNNNNNNNNNNNNNNNNNNNNNNNNNNNNNNNNNNNNNNNNNNNNNNNNNNNNNNNNNNNNNNNNNNNNNNNNNNNNNNNNNNNNNNNNNNNNNNNNNNNNNNNNNNNNNNNNNNNNNNNNNNNNNNNNNNNNNNNNNNNNNNNNNNNNNNNNNNNNNNNNNNNNNNNNNNNNNNNNNNNNNNNNNNNNNNNNNNNNNNNNNNNNNNNNNNNNNNNNNNNNNNNNNNNNNNNNNNNNNNNNNNNNNNNNNNNNNNNNNNNNNNNNNNNNNNNNUUCUUUUCCCUUUUUGUUUUUCUUAGUAUAUUUCUUGGUCUUUACUGUUUUCUUCUUCUUCUUCAUUAUUCUUGGUUUUCUUCAUUUUCCUUUGUUUCUUUCUCGGUAAUCUAUGUUUUCACUAUUUUGCAUUGAUUUUCUUCAAUUUUCCAUUUAUCAUUUUUUGGUUUUGUUUGUUUUUUAUAUGUGGUUUUUAUUCGGCUUCUUCAUUUUUCUUUGUUUCUUUGUCGUUUUUCACCAGUUUCUUUUUAGUCCGACACAUGCCAACUUUUUUUCAGUGCAUAUUCAACACCUUCCGUAUAUAUCGGAAAUAUAUUUUACAUGUUUAACAUAUUUUAAAUACGUGAUUAAAUUUUUAAAAAAACUUAUAUUUUUGGUACAUAUCUUUAAAAUCCAUUUUAAUACAUGUUUAACAUUAUUCAAAUAACAUAUAUAUUUUUGGAAUACAGGGUAAACAUUUUUCAAUACACCAUGAAUAUUUUUAUUGGCAAUAAACAUGUAUUGACACAUGAUGUACAUUUUUCGUGUAGGCAAAAAACUUUUUUAUAUACAUGUUUAAGAUUUUCUAAAUAAAAAUUGAUUUUUUUUAAAAAAAAUUGUCUCUACAUUUAUUUAAUGUAUGUUUUACGUUUUUUACACACCAGGAAUAUUUUUAUACACGUUUUUCCUUUUUAAAAUACUUGAUGAACAUUUUCAUACCCAUUGUAUUUGUUUAGGGUAUAUUUUUCGUAUAUAUGACAAACCUUUUUAUAUACACAUUUAACAGUUUUCAAAUGCUUUAUUAACAUUUUUAAAAUACUUGAUUCACAGUUUGUUCAAAUGAUUGAUUAACAUUUUUUUAAAAUACAUGAUCAACUUUUUCAUAUACAUUGUAUAUGUUUUUUCUUAUACAAGACAAACAUUUUUGUAUACACAUUAAACAUUUUUUUAAUUCUAGAUUAAGAGUUUUCCAAUGUUUUAUGUAGAGUGUUUUCUUAAUUAUCAUUGGUGGUAGGAAACUUUUGUCAUAUGUAUAUAUAAUAUUUGAAAGUAUAAAGAAAAGUAAAAACAGCAAAAAAAUCGUUAAAAAAAGAAAGAAAAACGAGGCUAUGGCUCCCCGCACGAUGGGCCGGUCCGGUCUCGUUCUCCUCAGGCGAGGCUGCCCUACGUCUUGCGUCAAGCGAGACAUAGGCGCCCCUCGUAAGGCGCCUCAAGAACUUAUUUUUUUGAACUUGCCUCAAGAACUAGUUGUAAUCGUAUUCAGAGUUUCAGACUCUCGUCGACCACUCCGAAUCCCGCCAAGAACCGAUACCGUGCCGAGGUUCCAUGGUAUAUACAGCACCGAUCGCGUCAACGCAAGUCCACAACCACUUUGCGAGAUUUGAUUCGAGACCUAGAUCCGUUUCGCCGGCGCCCGCACGCCGCCGCCGCGCGUUGCCGAUCGGCCUUUCCCUUGGUGCGCGCGCGCGCCCCUCCGCGGCCGAGCGACGCCAUGGGGAGGUUCUUCAACGGCAAGACGAAGCAGAAGCCGGAGCGGCGCGUGAAGGUGCGGGUGGAGCCGCCCGGGUACAGCCACCACGAGUUCGAGCUGCCGGCGUCGCACCUACGCAGCAGGCACUUCGCGUCGCUGAUGGCCAAGGCCAAGAAGGAGGACGGCGUCGAGGGGAAGGUGGUCGCCAUCCAGUGCGGGCUCGAAGACUUCCUCCUCGCCAUGGUGAAGACGAUUUCCCGAGCGCCGUUUGAUUCCUCGCCGAGAUGCCCCAUCCUCGGCUGGUUCUCAGCUCGGUCACGCUGAUGUCACCUCCAAUCUAGGCAGGAGCCCUCGUUAUCGUUUGCUCGACAUCUUGUCGAGGGCUGUAUGUAAUUGAUGGACUCUAGAGAUGUACUGCUCAGACAAAAGUGUAGAGAUAUAUUGCCUGACAUCUUGUCGAGGGCUCUAGAGAUGUACUCAGAGAGAAGUGUGAAUAUGUAUGUAUUUUGUCAGUGCUAGAAAUUGUACUUCUUGCUGAGGGCUGUAACGAAGUGUAGAGAUUGAUCGCAAAUACAUGUUGAAUGCUCUUCCAUAAAUUGCACAUAUCUAUUUUGGAAACAGACGAACACACCAUGUAUUAUCAUCUUAUACAGAAGUGUUGCAUAUUUGACCCCAGUUCAGUAGACAGAGCCUCCCAGUCGAACUUGAUGUUGCAAGAUUGAGUAGGGUCGAUGCAUUUUACAAUAUCAUACAGAAAACACAUUGAAGGGCCUAUAAGCAACGUACAACCUGCCAAUGCUUCUAUAUAAUUCUAUAUAUCCAACAAGGGAACAACGAAAACCUCCUGUGUUCAUUUGCAUGUCGUAAUCAGUCCAGAGAAAAACGGCCAUAUCUCCAGCUAUUGUGUGGGAUUGAGAGCCGCUUCUGCAUUUGCCUGCAGAGCAUCUCCCUCUCACUUUGCAACUUCCUGGCACUACAUACCGGAGUAGUUUCCGUCAGGAGGAAUUCGAGUGUUGUAAUGCAUAGAAGCGAGAAAUGUGACUUACUCCCUCCGUAAAAAAAUAGAAGAGUGUUUAGAUCACUAAGAGCAUCUCCAAUAGACGGUUCAAAUGUAAAAAUACCUAACUUUUAGACCGUCCGGGGCAAAAAACGUUGCUCCAACAAAAGGUCCAUAUGCAAAAAAAAAAUGAACUACGGCCUCCUUGUGAUACAAAAUACAACACCUCGCGAUGCAAAUAUACAUCACGAGAUGCAUCUGGUCCAAAACUAGCCGCCGCCCGCGAACGUCCAACCGCCACUUCAUUUCCUUUCCCACCCGCCCACGCCCGUCCACCCGCCCGCGACCCUCCCGGCCGUCGCCACCCCCCGCCGUCCGGCGCCGCCAUGGCCGAUGCCGACGACCCGGCCGCCUUCUNNNNNNNNNNNNNNNNNNNNNNNNNNNNNNNNNNNNNNNNNNNNNNNNNNNNNNNNNNNNNNNNNNNNNNNNNNNNNNNNNNNNNNNNNNNNNNNNNNNNNNNNNNNNNNNNNNNNNNNNNNNNNNNNNNNNNNNNNNNNNNNNNNNNNNNNNNNNNNNNNNNNNNNNNNNNNNNNNNNNNNNNNNNNNNNNNNNNNNNNNNNNNNNNNNNNNNNNNNNNNNNNNNNNNNNNNNNNNNNNNNNNNNNNNNNNNNNNNNNNNNNNNNNNNNNNNNNNNNNNNNNNNNNNNNNNNNNNNNNNNNNNNNNNNNNNNNNNNNNNNNNNNNNNNNNNNNNNNNNNNNNNNNNNNNNNNNNNNNNNNNNNNNNNNNNNNNNNNNNNNNNNNNNNNNNNNNNNNNNNNNNNNNNNNNNNNNNNNNNNNNNNNNNNNNNNNNNCCACUGCCAUCCCGCCCGCAACCGCGGCCAUGCCGUCGCCCCCCGCCCGCCGGCCCGGAUUGGCGCCGCCCCGGCCGGUGGCCACCCCGCAGGCGGCGAAGGGACGAGGAGAUAGCGUCAAACGGCCGACCAACCGUAGUCGCAACCCGGCCGACAGUUCUACGCGGCCGGUGAAGGUCUCAAAGGCGGCCGCGGCGGCUCGGGGCGACGACUCGCAGACGAUGCGGCCAGCGGCCUCCUCCAGCAACCACACAUCCAUUCCUCAACCUCCUCCGCCGCCAUUGCCGGCCGUUAAGGAAGAUGUGGCCACGCCGACGGCCACCGCCUCCAACAUGUUCGACGAAAUGUCAGUGGUGCUCACGGCAACGAGAGUUCACCGCUUGUUGAGAACGUCGACAAAGACGGUGGUGGAGAUGAUGAUCGUACCACGGUUCACAACACCGGUGGUGUUUAUGACCCGAAUGAGUAAUAUUCAUGUGUAUUUCAAUUUCUAGGGCGAAUAACUUUGAUUGAGACGAUGCUCUUUUGGUAGACGAAUUUGAUACUAUGAUGGUGAUGCACUUUUGAUUGAAACUAUGAUGAUGAUGCACUUUAUUUUCAAAUUUUAGUUUCUAUUUUAAUGCAAAACCGCAGCGGAACAGUGGCUGGCAGCAGCCGCGCGGCCGUUUUCAUAUUUACAUCUUCAUUUUGGACCAUUUAUUGGAGUUGCAAAUUUGGACCAUCAAUUUGGACUAUCUGUUGGAGUUGAGCUUUUUUCGGAGCUCCAAACCGCACUUUUCGGCGAUCCAAAUUUUACAUUUCCGCUUUUGGACUGCCAAAUUUUAGACCAUCUAUUGGAGAUGCUCUAAAGUAGUGAUCUACUCCCUCAGUUCCAAAAUAGAUGACUCAACCUUAUACUAACUUUAGUAUAAAGUUGAGUCAUCUAUUUUGGAACGGAGGGAGUAAAUGCCAAAAAUCCAUCUCUACACCCGAGCUCAUCUGCACCCGCGCUGAGGAAAAAAUCAAAACAAAUACUAGAAAAAUUCAAAAAUAUCCAAAAAAAAUGUGCGCCAGACAAUUUGAUGCGUGAGGCUUGCUCCAAUUUUCAAAUCAUUUAGACAUCUGAGGAGCUCUCAGCAAAAAAGACAAAUUGAGGGCCUGUAAAAAGUUUACUGUUCACGUACUGUUUUGGCCCGAUUUGCCUUUUUUGCUGUGAGCUUCUUAGAUGUCCAAAUGACUUGAAAUUUGAAGCGGGUCUCACACAUCAAAUUUUCUAACGCACAACCGGGUGCAGAUGAGUCUGGGCACCAAAACGCCCUACUCUCUAAAUGCUCUUAUAUUUGUUUACAGAGGGAGGGAGUACCUUGAAAGCAGAGAAGUGUUCAGGUUAUUACGACCAUGCUUUCCAUACCACCAUUGGCGUAGGUAUCUUUAAGGAAAGAUAGCCUCCUUAUCUCUACCUCCAUGUAGAUGAAGUCGCCUGGAUCUCCUCUAAAUAACAAGAAAAGAUAGGUCCUAUGAACUAGUGGACUUUUAAAUAUUUAAAAACAUUUUCAAAUUCCUGAACUUUUUCAAAAUUUCUUAACUUUUUCCAAUUUCGCAUUUUUUGUUUUCAAUUUUUGUAUGAACGUUUUGUUCGAAUUUUAUGAACUAUUUUCAAUUUUUAUGAUUUUUAAAUUCAUGAUUUUUUUAUAAAUUUGGUGAACUUUUAAAUGUUUCUCAAACUUUUCCCAAAAUUACGAACUAUUUUCAAACAUGAUAACUUUAAAAAAGAUCAAACUUCUUUCGGAUUUCUUAAUUUUUCCCAAAUAUUGAAUUAUUUUUCAAAUUUAGGAAUUUUACCUUUUCGAUGGUGAAUGGACAUCCAGUUUUACAGAAAAAAAAUGAAUUGUUUUCAGAAUCCCUGAUUUAAAAAAAUUAAUUGUGCAAUAAUCUAUAUAAAAACCGAUGGCCGAGUCAGUGCAGUAAGAAAAUACAAACGGAAAAAAAUCCAGCGAAUUUGGCGAGCGAGCAAGAGGGCAGAGAGGGAAUUUGGCCAUAGCCCACGAAUCAGCCUAGCGAGUGCCCAUGACCCUUUUGGCGUCUGAAGAGUCGAGGGCUCGUAAGGCGAAAGGCCAAUAUCUCACUUCAGAGACCUCCUAUUGGGCGCUUUAAGCGCCGCUCAGACAAACCGGCGCCCGCUACAGUCUCUAGUGGGCCGGCCCACGAAAGGAAUAGGCAGCGAAUAGUCUAGAUAAAAAACCCAGCAAAAAAUUGAUAGCUCAGGGAUUCAAACUCGCGCCGCAAUAUUGGAAGUUGGGUGUAGCUAACCACCACGCCUUCGGGAUGCAAGUGGUUUGUGGCAACGUACAAUCUUUAAGAAACAUCGUAAGAGUCCUAUUAAUCUAUUACGUACUACACACUAGCACCCAGAUUUUUGAAUUAUUUUGGAGAAUUUGCUUUUUCUGUAAGAAAAGUUCGUCAAUUUUUGAAACAAGUUCAUGAAUUUGGGAAAAAGUUCAUCGAUUUUGAAAAAAAGUUGAUCAAAUUUUAAAGAAAGUUCAUUGAAUUCGAAAAAAGUUCAUCGGUUUUGAAAAAAGUUCACCGAAUUAGAAAAAAAGUUCACCGAGUUUGCAAAAAGUUCAAUAAAUUUCAGAUAAGUUCAUCAAAUUUUUUUAAAAAAGCACCGAUUUGAAAAAGUUCAUCGAAUUUGAAAAAAGCUCAUUGGUUUUGAAAAAAGUUCACCAAAUUAGAAAAAAAGUUCACCGAGUUUGAAAAAAGUUCAUAAAAUUUGAAAAAAGUUCAUCGAAUUUUAAAAAAAAGUUUACCAAAUUCGAAGAAAAUACUCAAACUGAAAAAUUCAUCAAUUUGGAAAAAGUUCGCGCAUUUAAGAAAAUGAAAAAAGGGAAAAGUAAAGUAAAAGAACAAGAAAAAGGAAAUAGUUUGUGACGCCCUCGAUUCAAUCGUACACUAAUCAUACACGCAAAUGUGUACGAUCAAGAUCGAGGACUCACGGGAAGAUAUCACAACACAACUCUAGACACAAGUUAAAAUAAUACAAGCUUUAUAUUACAAGCCAGGGGCCUCGAGGGCUCGAAUACAUAAGCUCGAAUACACAAGAGUCAGCGGAAGCAACAAUAUCUGAGUACAGACAUGAGUUAAACAAGUUUGCCUUAAGAAGGCUAGCACAUAAGCAACAUUGAUCGAAAAGGCAAGGCCUCCUGCCUGGGAGCCUCCUAACUACUCCUGGUCAUCGCGGUCUUCAUGAGGUAGUAGGCGCCCUCGUGGUAGUAGCAGUCGUCAAAGGUGGCAUCUGGCUCCUGGACCCCACCAUCUGGUUGCAACAACCAGAAAGAAGAAAGAAGGGGGAAAAGGGGGAGCAAAGCAACCGUGAGUACUCAUCCAAAGUACUCGCAAGCAAGGAUCUACACUACAUAUGCAACAUUAUUAAAGGAAGGCUGUAUAUGUGGACUGGGCUGCAGAAAUGCCAGAAUAUAGAGAAGGCCUAGUCCUAUCGAAGACUAGCAUCUUUUGGAAACCACCAUCUUGCAGCAAACAGGAGGGAGUAGAGUAGCAUAAAGUGAAGUAGUAGUAGUGUUAUCAACCUCGGCCAGAGAUCCUUCCUCGACUCCCUGUGAGAAAGCAAUCCCAGAGCCAUACUAUCCGGUUAUCACCUCAUCACAAUCCAAUUCUCAUCACAAGUAUCCAGUUCUAGUUGUAUCGAUCGGGAUACAACUCCAAGUGUCCGUUACCGUAGGACAGGCUAUCGAUAGAUGUUUUCUUCCCUGCAGGGGUGCACCAACUUACCCACCACGCUCGCUUAACUCCGGCCAGACACACUUUCCAGGGUCAUGCCCGGCCUCGGCCAAACAAUACGCCGCAACCCGACCUAGGCUUAAUAGAGAGGCCAGCACGCCGGACUAAACCUAUGCCCCUAGGGGUCAUGGGCCAUCUCCCCGGGAACUCAUGCACGUUGCGAACGCGGCCGGUGAGCAGACCUAGCUACCUCCUUAAAAAGGUAGGUGCUUACCAGUCCAACCCGGCGCGCGCCGCUCAGUCGCUGACGUCUAAUAAGCUUCGGCUGAUGUAUACGACGCAGAACGCCCAUACUAUGCCCACGUGAUGGUUAGUGCUAUCAGGCCAGAGGCCCCUCGGAUCAAAUAUCCAAAUCGUAGUGGAUUAGGAACGCGCGGUAACAAGCAGAGACUCACGAAAGAUGUGACCCCGUUGCCCCGUCUCGAGGACUUGCGGCAAGGGCUAGGAAUGCCCGGCCACGCCUCGCAAUUAUCUUCGGCACCUUCCAGGUCAACCCGUCUCCACAUCACUCGCAAUUAUGCUCGCGCGGGCACCCCUCAGGGUCGACCCGUCUUUAGUAACAUGGUUCAGUGUAACAUAGUAACCAUAGUAACUGUGUGUCCAAACAUCAAGGGGAAAGCCUGAGGAAUCACCCCCGGUGAAUUCCACUCGAUGUAAUCAACAAGGUGAACGUAAGAGGAAUCACCCCCGAGGUUCACACUUGAGGGGUUGCACGACUGAGUCAUAUCGGAAGUGGUUAAGGCGGAAUCACCCUCGAUGACCACGACCGAAUAGCUACACUACAGGGUUAACAUCAGAAGUGCUGUAGAGGUCUCACCCUCGGCACUUGAUAGUAACCCAGCAGAGUCGAGCAACUAAGGGGAAAGUGAUGUGCGGUGUCGGGGCCUGGUCUUCGAUCCCGUUGAUCGUGUCUUUAAUGAUGAAGCAAGGGCAACAAGGACAAGAUGGGGGUCACUGAUGGAUCUCUAACCAACCUAUACUAAGAUGUUUAGGAUAAGCAGGUAAUGUACAACAGCAGAUACAAAAGCAGGCUAUGCAUCAGAAUAGGAGCAAACAAUAACAGUAGCAAAAUCUAAUGCAAGCAUGAGAGAUGGAAUGGGCGAUAUCGGGAUGAUCAAAAGGGGGGGGGCUUGCCUGGUUGCUCUGGCAAGGAGGGGUCGUCGUCGACGUAGUCGAUCACAGGGGCGGCAUCGGUCUCGGGGUCUACCGGAGAGAAGAGGGGGAAGAAACAGUAAAUAUAAAGCAAACAUAGCAUAACAAGACAAUAAGCGGGGCUAGAGGUGUUCUAACGCAGUGCUAGGCGAUACUGGCGAAGGGGGAAUUCAACCGGGAUGUUUUCCCGGUUCCAGACCUGUGUCAGACAGAUGACCGGAGGGGGAAUGUUCCAUGUUCACGUAUUCGGAUUCGUCUCGUUGUUCUGAGCAACUUUCAUGUAGAAAACAUUUUCAUCCGAGUUACGGUUUAAUUUCUAUUAAAUUACAAAGAUUAAACCAUUUUUUUGGAUUUAUUUAUAUUAACAGAAAAAAGAAUUAUGACGUCAGCAGAGUGUCAGCAUGACAUCAGCAGGUCAACAGACAGGCUGACUGGUCAAACUGACCAGUGGGUCCCACCUGUCAUAGACAGUGGACUAACAUAACUUUAAACUAACUAAAAAGAGGUUAAAUUAACAGCUGGGCCCCUUAUGGCAGUGGCAGAUUAGAUUACUAAUUACUUUUAACUAUAAAAACAUUUUAAUUAGCUUAAUUAAGCGGUGGGGCCCGCACGUUAGUGGCUGGGGCUGCCCAGUCAGCAGUUGACUGGGUCAACCCGGUCAACUGGGGCCCAUGGGGCCCGCUGGCAGCGACCCUGGGGGGUGGCCCCAGGUCGGCCACGUUGGCGGCCAGCGCCGGAGUUGCGCCGGCGAGCUCUCCGCGGCGGCGAGUCCGCCGGAGAGGCUCGGAUCUUCGCUACAGAACACCAAAUCACGCAUUUUCACUUGCGUUCGAACGCUGACGUUGUCGCGCAUCGAGUGGUGCCACUGGACCAACCGGAGAUGGCCGGAACAGGGAGCUGCAAGGUCGCCGGCGGCGGUGGUCUACGGUAGCUCGGCGAAAACGAAGAACUAGCGCGCUCACAAGCGAUCUAAAGCGUUAGGCCGCACCGCUGGAGUGCCCCGAGCACGAUGGUGUGCUCGGACGGCCUUGGCAUCGAUGGAAGCGACGACGAUGAGCGGCACGGCGGAGCUGAGCUCGGUUGUCCAUGGCGGCGAUGUUAUGCGCAGCAGAACGAGGGGAAGGCAGGGGGAGGACGUGCGGUGCUCACCGUGCGGGCGCAAGGAGGCCCAGGAGUGAACGGGAGCGCAGAGGGAGGUCGAAUCAACGACGACGGCGUCCGACGACCCGCGGAGGAGGAAGAAGGGGAUCCGACGCUUCGGUGCUCCCCAUCCCCCGCUGAGGCCACCAGUCGAUGGAGAGGGCGAUGUCGGAGGUCACCGACAAGGUCAGCGGGCGCGGGGCCGCCGGUGGCCGCGACAACGAUGGAGGACGGCGGCGAGGGCGCUCGGGCCACGGAUCUGGAGGAGAGGAGGGCGGAGCGAGCGAGGGAGAGGGAGGGAGAGUGGCAAGUGGGCGAGUGGGAGGCGAGGAGGCCGAGGCGUCGGGGAGGCACAAGCCUUAUCCCCUCGCCCGGGCGUCGCCGGCGAGGCGGGUCCGGCGGGGACGGCGCCCCUGUAGCGGCGCGCACCGGGGGAACAGGAAGGGGGCGCGGUGCGGGGAGCUAGGCCGGCUGGUUGAGGUGGGCCGAGGCCCAUGGUGGGGGCACGGUGGUCAGCUGGGCCAGUCGGCCCAUCCGAGGNNNNNNNNNNNNNNNNNNNNNNNNNNNNNNNNNNNNNNNNNNNNNNNNNNNNNNNNNNNNNNNNNNNNNNNNNNNNNNNNNNNNNNNNNNNNNNNNNNNNNNNNNNNNNNNNNNNNNNNNNNNNNNNNNNNNNNNNNNNNNNNNNNNNNNNNNNNNNNNNNNNNNNNNNNNNNNNNNNNNNNNNNNNNNNNNNNNNNNNNNNNNNNNNNNNNNNNNNNNNNNNNNNNNNNNNNNNNNNNNNNNNNNNNNNNNNNNNNNNNNNNNNNNNNNNNNNNNNNNNNNNNNNNNNNNNNNNNNNNNNNNNNNNNNNNNNNNNNNNNNNNNNNNNNNNNNNNNNNNNNNNNNNNNNNNNNNNNNGGGGGGGGGGGCUUUUCCUUUUUCUUUGCUUUUUUUUAAUUUCCAGCAGCAAUUUGCCUUUUCCUUUUAGCCAUUAGGACUUUGCAAAAUGAUGUCAUUGGGCAAGAUAAUUUCAAGGAAUUAUUAUGCACUGCCACAAAAAGGUUGGGAGACUUUUGGAAUAGUUGCCAAUUUUAUAAAUUAAAAAGGCAUUUAAUUUAUUGCUUAGGUCACUCUUUUAAGUAGUUUAGGCCACUCAAACCUUUUAUAAAAAUGUUGGUUCACCACCAAUAUUAACAAAUGAUUAUUUGCCACCUGAUGAACAUUUAGUUUUCAUGAAAGAAGAAACAAAUAUUUGACAUGCAAUUUGAAUUUGACUUUGAAGCAGAUUUUGGACAAGUGGCCUUUUAGCAUGAUGAUCAUGAUGACAUGACCUUCAUUAAGGAGAAAUUACUGUAGUGUGAUGCUGGGGAUGUUACAUAGUUCCGUCAACUCAAGGGAAUAAAAGGGGGACAGGAAUUAUGUUUACACAUUGUAUCCAGGUGGCCUAGUGGUUACACGGGUGUGCUUUGAAUCGAGAAGUCUCGAGUUUGAGACCACGCGGUACCUUUUUUUGACAUUUAACAGAACAAGCAAAGAAUUAAAUGGGCCAGCCCAGCACGGAGGGGGGGUGUGCGCCCUGUAACAUUUAUGCCUCUAACUGGCGCCUUGGGCGCCAAAUAGGAACCAGCCUCACUUCAUACGAGAUGAUACGAGCUCUCGCAUGAGGUAUUCUCCUUCACGCUAGAAUACUGGGCCAGCCCAUAUUCUUCGCUCGCCCGUGAUCGCUUCUAUACUCUCACUACUUCUUUAGGACAUGGCUUACUUGCUUAUCACAAGUCGUCUCCCGACAAAGGAAAUAUUGAGAAUGAGAUGCUGCUUCGUUUGCUCGCUCGCGACCGGUUAGCUCAUUCCCUUCGGGUUUCUUCUGUUUUUUCCUUUCUUGGUCCCUUUUGUUUCUUCUUCAGGUUUUCCUUGUUUCUUCAUGAGUAUUUUGAUUUUCCUUUAUUCUUCUUAUAUUUCAAUUUUUUGUUUCUUUCUCGGGUUUUCUCGUUUUCUCUUUUGUUUCUUUUUCUUUUUUGCACGGAGUUUUCUCUGGUUUUUCCUUGUUUUCAUAUUUUGGUUUUUUCUUGUUUUCUUUCUUUGCUUUUUUCUUCGGUUUUCUUCAUUUCUUUCACUCUUUUCACUGGAUUUCUUUCUUUCUUUCUUUCUUUCUUGUUUUUCUUAGUGUAUUUUUGGUGUUUACUGGUUUUUUGUCUUUUUCUUCAUGAUUCUUGGUUUUCUUCAUUUUCCUUUGUUUCUUUCUCGGUUAUAUAUGUUUUCAUUAUUUUGCAUAGAUUUUCUUUGGUUUUCCAAUUAUCGUUUUUUUGGUUUUCUUUGUUUUUUAUAUAUGGUUUUUAUUCGCUUCUUCGUUUUUCUUUGUUUCUUUGUCGUUUUUCACUCAUUUCUUUUUUGUCCAACACAUGCCAACUUUUUUUAGUACAUAUUCAACAUUUUUCGUAUAUAUCAGAAAUAUAUUUUACAUACAUGUUUAACAUAUUUUAAAUACCUGAUUAACAUUUUUUUUAAACUUUGUAUAUAUAUUUAAAAUCCAUUUUCUAAUACAUGUUUAACAUUUUUCAAAUAAAAUAUUAAUAUUUUUGGAAUACAUGGUUAAUAUUUUUCAAUACACCAUGAAAAUUUUUAUUGGCAAUAAACAUAUCUUUACACAUGAUGUACAUUUUUUGCAUAGGCAAAACACCUUUUUAUAUACAUGCUUAACAUUUUCUAAAUGAAAAAUGAAAAAAUAUUUUUUAUCUCUACAUUUAUUUAAUGUAGGUUUUACAUUUUUUGUACACACCAGGAAUAUUUUUAUACACGUUUAGCCUUUUUAAAAUACUUGGCGAACAUUUUUCAUUCACAUUGUAUUUGUUUUGUGUAUAUUUUUCGUAUAUAUGACAGACCUUUUUAUAUACACAUUUAACAGUUUUCAAAUGCUUUAUUAACAUUUUUCAAAUACUUGAUUCAUAGUUUGUUCAAAUGAUUGAUUAACAUUUUUUUUAUACAUGAUCAACUUUUUUCAUAUAGAUUGUAUAUGUUUUUUCGUAUACAUGAGAAACAUUUUUGUAUACAUAUUAAACAUUUUUUAAAUUCUAGAUUAACAGUUUUCAAAUGUUUAUGCAGAGUGUUUUGUUAACUCUCAUUGGUGGUAGGAAACUUUUGUCCUAUAUAUAUAAUAUAUUCGAAAGUAUAAAGAAAAGUAAAAAAAGCAAAAAAAAAGUGAAAAAAAGAAAGAAAAACGAGGCUCUGGCUCCCCGCACGAUGGGCCGGCCUGGUCUCGUGCUUCUCAGGCGAGGCUGCCCUACGUUUCGCGUCAAGCGAGACAUAGGCGCCCCUCGUAAGGCGCCUCAAGAACUUUUUUUUUUGAACUUGCCUCAAGAACUAGUUGUAAUCGUAUUCAGAGUUUCAGACUCUCGUCGACUGCUCCGAAUCCCGCCAAGAACCGAUACCAUGCCGAGGUUCCAUGGUAUAUACAGAACCGAUCGCAAUCACCGCAAGUCCACAACCACUUUGCGAGAUUUUCUGAUUCGAGACCUAGAUCCGUUUCGCCGGAGCCCGCACGACGCCGCCGGGCGUUGCCGAUCGGCGUUCCCUUGGUGCGUGCGCGCGCCCGCCAGCGGCCGAUCGACGCCAUGGGGUUCUUCAACGGCAAGACGAAGCAGACGACGACGCAGAAGCCAGAGCGGCGCGUGAAGGUGCGGGUGGAGCCGCCCGGGUACAGCCACCACGAGUUCGAGCUGCCGGCGUCGCACCUACGCAGCAGGCACUUCGCGUCGCUGAUGGCCAAGGCCAAGAAGGAGGACGGCGUCGAGGGGAAGGUGGUCGCCAUCCAGUGCGGGCUCGAAGACUUCCUCCUCGCCAUGGUGAAGACGAUUUCCCGAGCGCCGUUUGAUUCCUCGCCGAGAUGCCCUAUCCUCGGCUGGUUCUCAGCUCGGUCACGUUGAUGUCACCUCCAAUCUAGGCAGUAGCCCUCGACAGGAGUAGUUGAUGGACUCUAAGAGAUGUAUUGGUCGGAGAAAAGUGUAAAGAUUAUACUUCUUGCCAAGAGAUGUAACAAAGUGUAAAGAUAGAUAGCAAUCCAGUUGAACGUUUCUUCCACAAGUUGCACAUACAUAAUCUUUGUACUCCCUCUGUUCCUAAAUAUAAGUCUUUGUAGAGAUUUCACCAGAUAGACUACAUACGAAGCAAAAUGAUUGAAUCUAAACUUAAAAUGCACCUAUAUACAUCCGUAUGUGGUUCAUAGUGAAAUCUCUACAAAGACUUAUAUUUAGAAACGGAGGGAGUAUCUCUUUUGGAAACAGACGAACACACCAUGUAUUAUCAACUUACAGAAGUGUUGCAUAUUUGACCCCAGUUCAGUAGACAGAGCUUCCCAAUCUCGAACUUGAUGUUGUAAGAUUGAGUAGGGUCGAUGCAUUUUACAAUACCAUACAGAAAACACAAUGAAGGGCCUACAAGCUACAACCGACAAUGCUAUGCUCCUAUAUAAUUCUAUAUAUCCAACAAGGGAACAACGAAAACCUCCUGCGUUCAUUUGCAUGUCGUAAUCAG